AAAAAAAAAAUGUUGGUUCAGUCCAAACUGGAACACUAUUAAGUUAUUAGAUCAUAACUGGAGCUGUAGAACUUGGAUUUAGGUCUGAUUUAUAUGUAUGGAAAGCUAAGACAUAGGCCUAAAAAUUUCAUGAAAAGUCCAAGAUUUAAAAGUGUCAUUUUCGAGUUCAAAUGGUAGCAACAACGGAAAAGUCGGAAUCUGUCCUGCAGCCCAGACAUUGUUCAAUGUUCAGUCCAUAUCUCGAGUUCUAGAGUCCAAAUGCACCGAUUCUUGUUUUGUUGGAAAGGUCAGACAAUUUCCCAUAACUUUCAUAAAGACUAUCUGUUCAAAUUCUGAUGUUAGCAAUGACGUUUUCUGCAGACAAGAAGAUAAGGAGUUUUACCAAGUUAAGAGGUGGCCACCCACUCAACAAUUAGUCAUCAAAUCAAUAGUUCUGAAUUUUGGCCUAUAGAAGGAGGCAUUUGCCAUGCAUUUAGGCAUAUUGGUUUUCAGAUCAAGAUCAUGUUCUUGCUCUCUCUCUUUAUAUUUUUGUAACGCUUAAGUUUUCUUUAUAUUAAUAUCUUGUUUAUACUUUUCAUUUCAUUUCCUUUACUUAGUUAACUUAUAUCUUAUUUAUGUUCGUAUCUUGUUUAUUUAUAUUUCUCUCUUUCAUUAUGUUUAGCUAAGUUUAUUAUGUCAAGGUGAAAAGGUUACACUAAUGGUGUAAGAAUAAGUAUAGUAUAAACUCAACAUGAACUUUAAUGUUUGAUACUAACAUGUUUUGUAUUUGUUAUCUUGUUCACUUUUAAUACUUUGCUUGUUAAAUGGUUAAUCUAGAUUUAUGUUGUAUAACCCUUGGUACAACAAAUACUUGGCACUUUUAUAGCCCAACCGUAUGGUAUAACCGACACCUGUGCUAUGAAAGGAACUUGAUUUGUUGUUAACAUAAGUUAUAAUCAUGAAUACCUAACAACAUUUACAAGUAUUAGCAUUAUUCGAAUAAGAUAACUAAUGUAAUCAUGUUAACAAUUUAUAAUCCGAUUGGAACCUCCUUUAUGUGUGGUUUCCAGUUGAGUAAUAAAAAGAGUUUAUAUUAUACUUGUUUGAAAUACCAUUAGUGGAUCCUCUAACCUUGACAAUUGUUUUAUAUUUGUUUAAAACCUUACAUCAAUAUCACAUCUCAAAGCUAUCUUCAACUCCUUUUCUGUUAUUAUCUAUUUUUUUAUUUGUAGUUUAUACAUUUAACCUCCCUGUGGUUCGCUCCCGGUCUUGCCGGGUUAUUUAUUAGUUCGACAUUCCUGUACUUGGGAUAAGACAUCAAUCUUUUGAUCGUGUCACUUGUACAUAGCAUCACAUACAUAAUGAAUCCUAUAACUGAAUUAUAGAGAAUCCUUUCCAUCCCAUCUCUCUCAACUUAUGUCUUGGUACACAUAUCUUUAGAGAGACGUAGUCCUUAUGAAAUAGAUAAAUAUCCUCUCUUGGAUUCUUUCAUGCUAAACUGUUUUAGCAUAUUGUCUAUGUAUGUGGAUUGAAACAAUCUAAGCAACCUUCUAGAUCUAUCUCUAUAAAUCUUUAUUUCCAAUAUAUAAGCUACUUAUCGUAUGUUCUUCAUGGAGAAGAUAUUGGAUAACCAAAUCUUUACUGAUUGGAGUAAAGGAAUGUUGUUUCCUAUCAAUAAUAUGUCAUCUACAUAUAAUAUUAAGAAAACAACUUUACUUCUACUAAAAUUUUUUAUAAACACAAGGUUCAUCCAUAUUUUUUAUGAAUCAAAUUGUUUGAUUAUCUCAUCAAAACAGAUAUUCCAACUCCUUGAAGCUUGUUUAAGUUCAUAAAUAGAUUUUUGUAGAUUGCAUACUUUGUUAGUAAGUUUUUUAGACUUAAAAUUUUCAGGUUGUGUCAUAUACACAUCUUCAUGAAGAUUCCCAUUUAGGAGUUCAGUUUUCACAUCCAUUUGUCAAAUCUCAUAAUCAUGGCAUGCAACUAUAACUAUAAAAGUUCUCAUAGAUUCUAACAUAGUUACCAACGAGAAGUUUUAUCAAAGUCAACCUACUAUCUUUUUUUAUAACCUUUAGCAACUAGUAUAGCUUUGUACGUUUGUAUAUUGCCAUAUAUGUUAAUAUUUCUCUUAUAGACCCACUUAUAUCCAAUAGGUUUUAUCCCUUCAAGUGGAUCAACCAAAGUCCAUACCUAAUUGGUGUACAUGGAAUCCAUUUUAGAUUUCAUGGCUUCAAGCUAUUUAUUGGAAUCAAUAUUAGAUAUUGCUUACAUAUAUUUAGUAGGCUCAUCAAGUAUGAGCAACUCGUCAUCAUUAGCUUCCACAAGAAAUUGAUAUCUCAAUGGUGUAUAACGUGUCCUACCAAAUUUAUGGAGCUCUUAUGUUUCUUAAGUUUUAAGCUAAACAUCAAAUGUUAUAGUCAUAAGCUCUUGAUCCACUUAGAUGUCUGUUUAUGGUUCUUGAACUUUAUUAAGUUUUAUUUUUUCUCCCACUGCUCAUUUCAAGAACAAGUUCUUUCUCUAGAAAAGUAACAUAUUUUGAGACAAACAUCUUUUGCUUAACAAGAUGAUAGAAAUAAUAUCCAAUAGAUUCUAUUGGAUAUCCAACAAACUUACAAUUAUCUGACUUAACUCCUAACUUUUCAGAUACUAUACACUUCACAAAACCGCUACAUCCCCCAAAUCUUUAAGUAUGAUAUGUUUGGUCUCUUACCAUUCCAUAUCUUAUAUGAAAUUCUAUCAAUAAAUUUUGAUGGAACCCUAUUUAAAAGAUAAGCAACAGAUUACAGGGCAUAACCUUAAAAAGAAAGUGGAAUGUUUGCAUUGCUUAUCAUGGACUGUAGCAUACAAUUUUUACUUUCAGAAAGUCCAUUAAGUUGUGUUCUAAGAGGUGUCCAUUGUGAGAGAAGCCCAUUAUUUUUAGAUAAUCUUGAAAUACAACUCAAGUAUUCACCGCCUUGAUCCAAUUGAAGUAUUUUGAUACUCUUUUCAGUUUGUUUUUCAACUUCAUUUCUGAAUUCUUUGAACCUUUCAAAUAAUUCGGACUUGUGUUUCAUUAAAUAUACAUAACCAUAUCUAGGAUAGUCAUUAGUAAAUGUAAUAAAAUAAGUAUAUCCACCUAUGAUACAAAUCGUCAUUGGUCCAUAUACAUUUGCAUAUAUUAGACCUAAAAAUUCCUUAGACCUUUCACCUUUUUCCAGUAAAUGGUGUUCUAGUUAUAUUAUCUAAUAAACAAGCUUCAUAAGUUUCAUACGAUUCAUAAUUAAAAGAAUCAAAAUACCAUUAUACAUGUAAUUUAGCGAUUCUUAUUUCAUUAAUAUGACAUAAUUUACAAUGCCAUAAAUAUAAAGGAUAUUAAUUAUCUAGUCUAUUCUUCUUGUUAUUUUUAUUGAACAUGGUCAUUUCAAAAACCAGUAUAUACAAACCAUUUGUAUAAUCAUCAGUUCCAUAAAAAAACACCAUUAUUAUAAAAAGAGCGACAUUUGCCCUCAAUAAUAAAUUUAAAUCCAUUAAAAGCUAAGUAAGAAAUGGAUAAAAUGUUUCUAGAAAGUAUUGGAACAAAAUAAAAAUUAUUAAGUUCUAGUAUCAGACCCUUUUGAAAGUAAAAUAAUAAGUUCUUACAGCUAAUGUAUCAACUCUUGCUCCAUUUCCAACUCGUUAGUCCACUUCGCUUUUAUUUAAUCUCCUAAUUUUCUUUAACUCCUACAUAUUAUUGCAAAUGUGAAAACUACAUCUGAUAUCCAAUACCCAAGAACUAUUAUGUGAAGUAGAAAGAUAAUUUUCAAUCAUAAACAUACUUGAAGUAGAAACCUUAAUAAGUUUCUUUUCCUUCACGGUUACAAGAUAUUCCUUAUAAUUUCUCCUUUAAUGGUCAUCCUUGCCAUAAUGAUGACAAAUACCCUUAUCUUUUUUAAUGCCCCUAGUAGGCUUCUUUGCUUUAGAGAUAAAACCUUUAUUAUUUUUAUUUUUCUUAGACAUUUUAGAAGACUAAACUAGGAGAACAAGACUUUUUUUCUUCUUAAGGGCCCUUUCAAUAGUUUUAAGCAUUUUAAGCAAUUCCAACAAUGUAUUAUCUAAUUUAUUCAUGUGAUAUUUCAUAAUGUAUUGCAAAAAUAUUUGGGGUAAUGACUGCAAGACCAAGUCAACACUUAACUCAUGGUCUAUAACAAAGCCUUAAUAACCUAUUUUCUCAAUAUAGUCAAUCAUUUCAAAACAUGGGUAUUUAUAAAUGAACCUUCUGUCAUAUUGCAACAUAACAAUUCCUUAGAGGUCUUAUAUCUCUCAAUCUUACUAGCUACAUCAAACAACUCUUUGAGAUGCAUAGUUAUAGUAUGACCAUCCAUAUUCUCAUGUUUCAUUUGAAGUUCUGGUCAUGAUGGCUAACAUCACAUCCUCAUCAGGAGCAAGAAGAAUUGGAUUUUCAAAAACAUAUAACCUUUUUUCUUGCUUAAGAACAAUUUUCACAUUACAAUACCAGUUCAAGAAGUUUAGUCUAGUCAAUUUUUUAGCAUCGAGUAUGCUGCUUAGGGAUAUGUUACUACUCAUUUUGAUCUAUCAAUUUCUUUAUAUAAAGAUAGCAAGUAUUAGUUUCAUGCAUACUUAUUUAAAUCCAAAUUCAAAUAAGGUCUUUAAUCUUAACUUGGUCUCCCACUAUUUUCUUGUAAAUUAAUAGUCCUUACCAUUAAUUAAGGAAAUCUCACUUAGAUCUCCUAGUGGUCUAAUAUCCCAUUUAAUUUAUAUGACCUUAACUAACUCAAUAAAUCAAAAUAAAUUAAAUUAGAUAUGUAACAUAGCUUAUCAAUCACAUCUUUAUGUGACUCCUAGAUCAAUUAAGUGAUAACUCUUUAUCUAAACAUAUCAUAUAUGUUUUGCCUAACGCCUCUAAUAUUUUAUGAUCAUAAGUAACUCAUCCAAAUCAUAUAAGUUAGUUAAGCAGAACCUAAUUUUAUAGCAUUAAACAUAGUCGAUUAAUGGUAACCUUGAGUAGCUCAACAAGUUAUCUAUGAAUAGAACUUUGGUUUUAUGCAUAUAAAAUCGGAAGGCAACAAAUCAUGUUCUCAACAUGUACCUAAUAUAUUAAUGAACAAUUUAUUAUCAAUUUUAAUUAGUUCUCAUUUCAUGGCAUAAUUGAUAUAUCAUACAUAACAAUUAUAUAUAUUAAUAUACAACCUCAACAUGUCAUUCUAAUUGGAUGAUUAUAGACAUAUCUAAACUAAUUUUCUCGAGCCAUCAAAGGGAAUUAAGUGAUCAAAACCUACGUAGCUAAUGCAAAUCUUCAUAAGUCAUUUACGAGCACCAUAGUUGUAUCCUUCACCUGCAUUCUUUCUUCGUUUUGGAUUAUAAAAUAAUUUUUCUAUUUAAAUUCUUACAUUUCUAAAUUACAUAAUGUUUACAUAAUUAAUUAAGAAAUCUCGAGUUACAUUCAAAUGGAAUUAAAUGAGAAAAUAAUUUUACAACCCUAGAAGAAAAAUAAAGAAAAGGUAAGACAUGCAGACUCUUUUGAUAUUACAAUCAUUCAACCAUAAAACAAAAUCACAUUGGUCUUUAAUGUUCAUAACCAUCCAUCAUACAUAAUAACACAUUAAUAUGUAUAAAUAAAUAUAUUGCAUGCUUCAAUUAUAAUUAAUGACUUUAUGUGUAAUUUUUAAAAUAAAAUUUCUAACACUUAAAAAUAUUAAAUCAAAUCCAAUUUGAUAAUUUUUCAAAAUUAAUAAAUUUCAUUUAAUAUAAAUUUUUUCUUUGAAAUACCUUCAAAAUUUAAUAAGAAAUUUAAUCAUAUUAAAAUUAUUAUUAAUAUCCUAAACUAUUUUAUGAUCAAUUAAAUAAAAAUAUUUUAGCUUUAAAACUCUUUACUUUAGAAAAAAAAAUAUUUUUCUAAAAAUUAUUUAAUUAAAAAUUUUAAUUAAAUCCUAAUCCUAUUAGGAUAUAACCAAAACUCAAAGAUUUUGAAUUAAAUAUUUUAAUUCAAUCUUAAUCUAAUUAGAAAAAUUAAUAUUACAAUUAAUUUAAUUUAGAGUUUUAAUUUUAAAAUAUAAAAUUAAUAUUUGAUAUAUGAAGGGGAAAAUAUAAUUUCCCCCAAUAAUACCAUAGAAGUAAUUAGGCAUAAGUUGUAGGGGUAGAUUCGUAAUUCUACUCCUUGAAACCCUUAAAAAGACUGCAGAUGUAGAAUCAUAAAAUCUACCGCUUCUUCUUCUUGUUGCAGCAACAAGGCUAAUGCAACUACUAGCAUGGGCUGCCAACAACCCUCGCGCUACCCAGUGUGGCGCCCAUAGCAGUGCUUGACGUUGGUGUGGCUUUUUUCCAGUGGUGAUUGGUUGUGAACGUAACACAACCAGGCAUGCCAGCGACGCUGAUGCCGCCACUAAUGGCUGUUGCAGCCACUAGAAACCAUUUUUUUAAUUUCAAUUGUGGAUUUCGGCCAUAUCUAGCAUGGAUAGUAACCAUCAAGUUUUUUUAAAAAAAACAUGAGAAAAAUAUUUUUGAUAAAAAUAAAUUUUUAAAGAGAUUGAAUUCGCAAUUAAUGCCAAUAACAAUUAAAACAUGCAAUUAGCAACCCUAAUUGUCUAACGAAGGCUCUGAUAUCAUUGUUGGGUUUUUCAAAACACAUACACGCAACAUAAACAAUAAAUUUAAAAUUUUUCUAGAGUUUCAAGGAUCCUGUUAGAAAGAUCCAGAGUUAUUUAAGGUUUAUGUAAAGAUUACCUAAAGAUUAGAUAAAUGUUUUUUUCAGUUUUAGAUAUUUGCUUUAAGGCUGAAUUAUAACAAACCACAAAUGAAUGUUCCGAUUUAAACAUUAUAACAUAGAGUAUGUCUGCUUUGUUAAAUUGUUUUAGUUCUCAGUAUUAUAGCCAUUGAUUAUUUGAAUAAAAUUUUGUUAUGUCUGUUUUGUUAAAUCAUUUUAGUUCUCAAUAUUAUAGACAUUGAUUAUUUGAAUAAAAUUUUGAAACUCUUUCAAAACUCAUUCCACCUUGGCCAAAGAUUUCACAAUCAAUACUAUUUGAGAACAGAUGAAAUAUUUUUCUUAAUUCACCUAGGGUGAUGAAUUUUCUCUUGAUUACUCAAAUAUCUUCAUAUAGUUGAUGUUAUACUUAAUAUCUACCUAUUUGUUACCCUUUAUUAAGACAAUAGAAUCAGGAUCAAAAUAUAAUAUUUUUUAAAUUUAAGGAUUACUUAUACUAUCAUGAGGGCCUUUCAAUAAAUAGGUAAUCUCUUCUUAUAAAAUUCUUUUAUGGGUCAGUUCAGGAUUCUUUAAAAUUAAUUUUUCAUUCACCCAUAAAUUUUCUAAUUAAAAUAAAUUUCCAAAACCAAAUUAAAUGCCUAAAGAAGAUCAAUAACGUCCACAGCAUUUCAUCUCCCUCGAGUCCUCAAUUCAGCAUUGCCCUUUAAUGUUUUCCUCCUUUGUCUUUCAUGAAGUCCUUGCGCGUAUCUAUAUAAGAAUAACAAGAGAUGGGUAAUAUCCUGUGAAAACCCGGCAACUGAGUCUGAACUCCUUCAACAAGUACAGCUUCAUAUAUAUUACUACCUAUUCUCUUGUUCCCUCUUGCUCACCAUGGUGCCAACAAUCCUCAAAACAUCAGUUUCUGGCAUCAAGCUAUCAUCGGUUGUGCCAGCCGAAGUGACAGGUGACAACGAGGACCGAAAACUAACAAAUAUGGACUUGGCCUUUAAGCUCCAUUAUGUCAGGGGUGUGUCCUUUUUCAGUAACGAAACAGUCCAGGGUCUCACAAUAUACGACUUGAAGGAACCCAUGUUUUCACUGCUCGCUCUCUAUCCUACUGCUUCGGGAAGAAUUCGGAAAUCUGAAUCAGGCAGACCUUUCAUCAAGUGUAAUGAUGGUGGUGUUCGGAUUGUUGAAGCGCACUGUGACAAAACCAUUGAGGAAUGGUUAAAGAUUAACGACCACAAACCUCUUGAUGAUUAUCUUGUUUACGAUCAAGUUCUUGGUCCAGAUUUAGGAUUCUCUCCAUUGGUCUUUGUUCAGGUAGCGCCUAUUACCCCCUAUCAACACUAACAUUUCAUUUUGUUUUCUUUCUAUUUUGGUUUACAUGAAGCAUUUCUGCCCGCAAAAUUGGAUAGUUGGAUUUUUGUCACUAUCAAAUUUGGUCUUUAAAGUUUUAAUUUUGAUUUUUUAACAAAAUUGAAUCUUAUCCCAUGAAAUUGAGCAUCAAUUUAAUGAUAAAUUUUUUUUAAAAAAUUGUGAUUUCCCAAUAAAAAGGUAAUUGAAAGGGAUUAUUGCUCCAAAUUCUGUUAAUAAAAUAUUUAAAGAUAAAAUAGAAAAAAACAAUUUAGUGACCGAAAUACAAAAAUCUAAAAGAUUAAAAUGAAACACUACUUUACCUCCCCACGCGUCCACAUUAAAUAUAGAAAACCAUUUAGUUUUUCCUUUAAUGAAUACGGGGUAUAAUUGAUAAAUUCACAGAUUUGGGUUGAAAUUGAAAGGCAUAUUAGAGUCUCGAAUGAAAAUGAGAUCUUUCGAUGGAAAAAACUCUCAUUGGACGCAACUUUCUUUCAAACAGUACUUUAAUAAAAAUUAUUUUAUUCAUUUUUUUUAUAACUAUGUAAUGGUACUGGUAUUUGGCAAUUACGAGUUACAAUUGUGCACUCAUUUCACUGUUUGCCUUUUGUUCUUUUUAUAUUUUAUGGAGUAUAUACUUAAUUUGGUUAUUUGAUGAAUGAUGCUUAUCAGUUCACUUGGUUCAAGUGUGGAGGAAUGUCAGUGGGACUCAGCUGGGCCCAUGUUCUUGGGGAUCCAUUCUCAGCUUCAACCUUCAUCAACACAUGGGGCAAAAUUAUGCAAGGUCACGUGCCAUCAAGGUCUCCCCACGUGCCAAACACUAAAAAAUCCAAAUACCCACUUUCAACGACAAGAAGGAAGCCAUUUUCCCUAAAACGGGUCGACCCAGUUGGGGACUCUUGGUUAAGUACCAAUAACUGUAAAAUGGAAACUCACUCUCUCCAUGUCACUGCAGAACAACUUGACGACAUACUAUCAGACAAUAUUCGUGGUCAAAAGCAGCCAACUGAGUUAUCCCAUUUCCAAGUCCUCUCUGCAAUAAUAUGGAAAUCUUUGUCCAAGGUUAGGGAAGAUUCAGGGCCAAGAAUUGUGACAAUUUGCACAGGAAAUUCUCGAGUCAAUGACCCUGAAGUUCCAAGCAACAACCUGGUGUUUAGCAUUAUUGAAGCAGACUUCUCGGUCGCGGAAGGAGAAAUCUAUGAAUUAGCGGAAUUGAUUGCUGAGAAGCAGGAGGAGGAGAAUAGCUUGAUAGAAGAUAUAGUAGAGAGCGACGAGGUUGAAUUCGACCGUAUAGCAUAUGGAACAAAUUUGACCUUUGUGGAUUUGGAAGAAGCAAAUAUUUAUGGGCUGGAAUUGAAGGGGCAGAAGCCUAUUUUUGCUAAUUAUUCCAUCAAGGGAGUCGGUGAGGGAGGAGUUGUUUUAGUGCUACCUGCAGGGCCAGGAAAUGGCAGUGGGAAAGUCAGUUCUGGGAGGACAGUGACAGUGACUUUGCCUGAAAAUCAACUUUCAAGGCUAAUGAAUGAGCUCAAGUUACACUGGGGUCUUGCUUGAUGCAAUAAAAAAAAGGCAUCUGCGGUUUUAAGAUUUCGCUUGUUCUGUUUUUGGAUUUGCCAUGUACUGCGAAGUAUGUGAUUUGGGGUGCUGUUAGUAGAGUGCAAACUACUUACGUUGACAAUCUACGAUUAGCAAAUAAUAUAGAUCACGAUUAUUAGCGUGUGUGGUAUUAUGGUAGUUUUUGUAGUUGUGGUGUGAAAAAAACAGUUUAAUAAAAAGUGUUUUUUGUGAGGUUGAUUUAAAAAAAAAUUGGUGUUUGGUUAAAACUGUGGUUGAAGUUGUGGUUUAAAAAAAAACAGUUUUUUGUGUUUGGUUAAAACACUGUGGUUGAAAUUGUGGUCGAAAAAAAGCAGUUUUGUGUUUGGUAAAACUGUGGUUAAAAAAAAAUACUUUCUUGUUUUUGGUUAAUAUGCUUUGUAUUUUAUAUUUGAUUUGAAUUAAUUAAAAGGACAUAUAUAAACACACAUAUAUAAUUCCAAAACAUAGGUGUUUUGUAAUUAUGAUUACAUAACAAAAUAAAAAAUCCUUAUACAUUAAUGUACUCCUUUAUUGUUCCAUUAAACUAUUUGCAAUUCCAUCGCGUACAAAAUCCAUACGUGAAGGCCUCUGUGAGCCUUGAACGGCCGAAGCCUGAACAAUAUCAGGUAAAAAGUCAUCUGGAAUUAAAUUGGAGUUGCGAUCAUACUCAGAAAAAACUGCAUCAUCUUGCGAACUCCUUCUAAUAUAGUUAUGUAGUGCUAUUGAUGCAACUACAAUCUCAACUUGUGUCUUGUAUGGAUAAGCAGGCAUGUUUUGCAAAAUUUUCCACCUCUAUUUCCAUACCCCAAAAGAACGUUCGAUCACGUUACGUAGUGACGAGUGUGCACGAUUAAACACUUCUUUCCGACCACUUGGUUGUCCACGACGCCUAAAUUCUUGGAAGUGAUACCUCUCGCCUUUGUAGGGACCCAAAUACCCAUACUCGUUUGGAUAUCCAGCAUCAACCAAAUAGUAUUUUCCUGCAAAAAAUAACAACAUAGUAAUUUUAAACAAAACUGGAAAAAAAUUAUAUUCCUUCAAUUACCAAAUCUUCAAUUUAGUCAAAAUCACAACCUUCCGGAGGUUUUGGAAAUUUGAUAUUGCUAUUGUCAAUAGCCUCAAGAAAAAUACGCGUAUCGUGUGCACUGCCUUCCCAUCCUGCCCACACGAACAUGAAUUGCAUGUCGAAACUACAAGCGGCCAUGACAUUUUGUGUUGGUACACCUUUUCUUCCAAUUAAUGGAAUUUGAUAUGCAGAUGGUAUGCAGGCACGAACAUGUGUUCCAUCAAUUGCACCGACACAAUUCUACAUGCCACGAAAACAUUUAUAAUACUCAUAAACAUUUAUAACAUAUUUCAUACUCCUCUGAACAACUUAAUUAAACUACUUAAUUAUAUAAAAAAAUUCAUCUUACCUUGAAAUGUGGCAUAAAUCUUGGAUUCAUAGCAAUUUCUCUUGGUGUGCUCGUAAAUUGUGGAUCUACUGGUUUUAUGACUUCCACAGCAAACAAACGUAAUGAUUUAAGCACUUCUUUAAAACAUCUACUAAUAGUUUCACCUGAAUGCUGGAAUCUUUCCUACACUUGUCUAUUUAACGCCCCAACUGCUAUUGUAAAUAGAAACAUUGCCACCUUUUCAAUAACGCUCAUUCUUCUUGACGGUUUUAAGCCAUGUUGCAUUUCUAAUUCGGUGCACAAACUCAACAAAGUGGUUGCGUCCAUCUUGAACAUGUUAACACUUCGUUUCCAAUGACCUCUUAAAACCUCCGACAACCAACGGAUCCCUGUGUUAUAGGAAACCAUACAUGGUUCUUUAUACAUAUAAUUAAUAUAAUACAUGUUUAUAGCUCCAACUGUGCAUAUAAUUAAUUUUUUCCUAUCAAAAUGCCUCCUUAUAAUAAAUGCAUCGUCACCAUCAUUGUCAUCGUCAACGUCGUCGUCAUCAUCAUCAUCGUCAUUACUGUCGUCGGAGUCGUUUCCAUUACUAUCAUCUCCGGCACCAUCAAUUGAAGCACCACUACCUUCAUAACUAGGAUAAUUAAUUUGGUCUACAAUGCGGUUCAUUACAUUAUCAUAAUUACCAUCGAAAUCUUCAUUAAAUAUGUCAUUAAAUCGUGGAUCAUCCAUAACUUCAAUUACAUGUAACAAGAAAAAAAAAUAUGUUGUUAGUAAAAAACUUUAAAUAAUUAAAUAUCAUUCAAUAAAAAAACUAUCAAAGAGUUGGUGCAACAUAAGUUUUUUCCAUACCUGUAAAGCCAACAAAAAAGGAGUAUUCUACUUGCUUGUAUAAAAUGCAAUUGAGAGGUUUGAGAAGCUUGUUAUGAAGAAAGCUAGUUCAGUGAAAAAUAUGAUGCAAACAUUCCUCUUUAUAUAAAAAAAUUUCAAUGCUCUUUACGUCUAUUUUACAAUUUUUGAGCUUUCAACAUAAGUACAUUCACAUGUAUGUAUAUGCUGUAAAAGUAGCAUAUAAUGUUACUUCUACAGCUCAUAUAUGUACACCAUCCUGACAUGUAGUCUUUCAAACCAGAGUUAAAAGGAAUAAAAACAGAGUUAAAAGUUAAAAACCAGCAGCAAGACCAAGCUUUCAGAAAAGAAAGAAACACCAACAACAUUAGUCCCAUCAUACCUCACGGCAGCAAAGAAAAAAACAGCAAUAGUAAACUGCAAAAGGGGUUUCUUUUCAGACAUCACAAGCUCAUAGUAGCUACCUAAUGGAAAAAAAUACAGCCAAGGAAAGAAUCACCAGCAGCAUGUCAAUCUCACAGUAGCUAACCAAUGGAAAAAAUUACAGCUAAGAAAAGAAACACAGCAGCAUGUAUUAUUAGUCCCAUCAGACCUCACGGCAGCAAAGAAAAAAACAGCAACAGUCAACUGCAAAAGGGGUUUCUUUUCAGACAUCACAAGCUCAUAGUAGCUACCCAAUGGAAACAAAUACGGCCAAGGAAAGAAUCACCAGCAACAUGUCAAUCUCACAGUAGCUAACCAAUGGAAAAAAUUACAGCUAAGGAAAGAAACACCAGCAACAUGUAUUAUUAUUCCCAUCAGACCUCACGGCAGCAAAGAAAAAAAUACAGGAAACAAAACAGUUAAGGUAAACAACCAAUUCCAUUAAAGGGUCAACCAUUUAACAUUAACCAUUGAACAUUGUAAUUCGUAGAUAAAAUACAACAUUACAACCAGCAAUUUCUCAACAAGUCUGUUAACUCCCGAAAAGCAGUUUAAUAAAUAUAACAGUACAUAAAUUACCGCAAACGGAUAUGCUCAUAUGUCUUAACAUGAAAUGUGGAAUAAUACAAUGUCUCAGACAAACUUCGGUAAAUGGAAACUACUCUUUUAAAAACCGGCAUCCCAUUACUCUGCAACAAAAAAAUAAACAUGUAUAAAUAUCGUAAGCACUUGAACAUAGUUAAUUGAUUAAUAGUUAAGAAACUUAAAUCAUACCAUGUCAGCUAAGCACGUUUAGUUCGUGCAUACAUUCGUUGCAACCAUCUCAACUUCUGUUGCUUAUCACCCAUACUGGCCCACAUUUCUCUUUUCCUUCUUAAACUGAGAUACUCCGUAGCGAAGUCAUGAAACUCAUCUUCAAUUGAAACUCCAGGAAUUGAGUGCAGCUCAGCCAUCACCUCGCGAAUACUACAACCUUCGCGAUCCAUAUUCAAAGAAGUCGAAUCACUCUUGGUCGACAUACUCUCAAGUAGAUGAUUGCACCUUGACAGCAGCUGAACACCAAUUCCAGCUGUUUUCUUCUUUCCACCUCGCACAUCAUAAUGAUCUCGUUCUUUUCUUUUGCCACCGCUUUUUGUGUUGCUGCUGCUAGACAUAUUUAUCCCUCCAACCAUUCGAGCCAUGUCAGUCUGGAAAUCUGGAAUCACAUCUUCCUCCGAAUCCCCGCUGCCCUCUUCCAAACCAUCAUACCCAAUGUCGGCAUUGCUUGUACCAGGAUCGACAUCACUACCAGCAGGUACACCUGAUGAAGGAGCCCAUGCAUACGCUUUAGUUGCGACAAUGUUGGAAUACAUUCGGUCAAAUUUAUUCUUCAAAGACGGCUCAAUACUGACAUGUUUGAAUUUUUUGGCUCCUCUAAUUUCCUGCAUAUAAAUUAAAUCAAGUAAUGAAGGAUCAGACUACUAAAAUUUUGGGGUUGGAAUUUGACAACAAUAAAAGAAAUUGUUAGGAUGACAAGGAAUGUACCUGAAUUUUUUGUUUCCACCACUCAUCGCUAGCUGUAAUUGUGCCUAACUCACUAUUCCAGCCAACACCAGUUUCAGAAACCAGCUUAUUCCAUAUCCUCCAAUCCUUUUUGCAUCCAUCCCAUUUGUUUUUCAACUGUGUUUUAGUGAAUGCAUGAUCAUUUUGUUCUUUGAAUGAUGUUAUAAGAAAUUUCCACCCCGUUUUAUCGAAAUGAGUAUUAGGUCUCAUUCCCAUAUCAAUUGCCUUAAUGCAUAUAUCACAAAAUAUAUGCAACAUUUCCUUUGUCCAAGCAGCCUUAUCAAAAGAUUCAAGACCUUCCAUGAUAUUUUUUUACUCAUUUAACAAAAGUUUGAAAUCAAUAAAUGAUAUGAAUUACAUUGUGGCACAUACAUAAACCGUGGACUUAAACACUAAUAAAACACUCAAUGUUCAGCAUUUACAAAAGCUGUGUGGUUAGCAACAAACAUUAACCAUGCAUGUAUUUGAAUGAGAAUGUUCAUGUUAAUUUGUAAUGAAAACUAAUUGAAACCCAUUAAUUUCAACUGUUCAGAAAACUCAGUUUCAGCCAUGAGAUAAUUUUUGAAUUAUCAAGCAACACUUCAUUGCCAUCAUGCUGUUUGGAAGCUAAAAAUAGAGGGAAAAAAACAAAUAGAACAGAAUCUAUUUCUACAUUCAAAGAAACCCAGCUUUCUUUCGCAGCAUGCAAACACAAAAAAAGGAAACUCAAAAUUCUGACUUUGACUGCACAAGUAGAAAUAAAAGUAAUCCUACACGACAUGCUAACAGGGCACUCAUUACGAUUACAAUAAACACACGCACAGUAAAGGCAUCAACGGUUGCUCAAACAGAAACAAUAUCAAUGUGUAUAGCAAACAUAUCAGACCAUGAAGAACAACAAAUAAAUGAAAUUUCAAAGCAUCACAUUGUUUCCAGUAAGCAAAUAAUCCAGUAGACAUAAAAAAACGAAACCAGAACAAAGAACAGCAUACAAGCAGUAUAUGGAAGCAAUUAAACUCUUUUAAAUUCAAAACAAAUGAUGAAGGCACAGUAAACAAAAGACAAUCAGCAACAGCUAUGGAAUUUAUCAAUUGUAGAACACACAGUAAUUGAUCAUGCAGGUACACAGACAUGCAAUUUUUCAUCUAAACAAUUGAAAAUGAAGAUGGAGAUAAGGCAGGAACUUACCUCAGUCUAUCUCUUUAGGUGUCCAAACCAGCAUGGUUCUGCAGCUUUGUCCUGUAAACAGAUACAAUGGAGACCCAGAAGAUAAAAUAGAUUUUGAGCUACAAUUACUACAAAAUUAACAUGGGUAACACAGUACACAGAAGCAUCACAGAAAUGCAGGUUUUCAAGUAGAAAAAAAUUAAAAACACAUGCAAAGCAGAGGACAAGCGGAAGAAGCAAUGAAAUUUGCUAUAAAUUCAAAAACUUUGAUGAAGGCACAGUAAUAAAUAGAACACAAGCAGCAACAACAAUGAAAUUUGUAGAUCANNNNNNNNNNNNNNNNNNNNNNNNNNNNNNNNNNNNNNNNNNNNNNNNNNNNNNNNNNNNNNNNNNNNNNNNNNNNNNNNNNNNNNNNNNNNNNNNNNNNNNNNNNNNNNNNNNNNNNNNNNNNNNNNNNNNNNNNNNNNNNNNNNNNNNNNNNNNNNNNNNNNNNNNNNNNNNNNNNNNNNNNNNNNNNNNNNNNNNNNNNNNNNNNNNNNNNNNNNNNNNNNNNNNNNNNNNNNNNNNNNNNNNNNNNNNNNNNNNNNNNNNNNNNNNNNNNNNNNNNNNNNNNNNNNNNNNNNNNNNNNNNNNNNNNNNNNNNNNNNNNNNNNNNNNNNNNNNNNNNNNNNNNNNNNNNNNNNNNNNNNNNNNNNNNNNNNNNNNNNNNGCUUGCUCCGGCGUUGGUGGUUUUAGGGCAAAAUAGAAAUGGGGUUGUAGCAAGAGAAGAGAGAGGAGAACAGUUUGGGGAAGGAAAUUAGGGUUUUAGUUCAUCAAUUAUACAUUGAUCUGCAACCGAAACAAGAAAAAAAAUUGUGAGGUUGCGAGGACCGUAAUUGACAGUGGUUACUAGGAAAGUUUCGGUGGUGAGAGAGAGGUGAAAUGCAUGAAGGAGCAGUUUAGGAAAAUGUUGAAACUAGGCGUUAUUGAUCUACAACAACCUUCCACCAUCAAUUUGUUGGGUUUUUUUUGUAACCAUUGGGAAAUUGAAAGAGGGACAAAGGACAGUUGGGAAAGUAAUUGUAAAAUUAUCGGUGAUGAGAGAGAGGAGAAACGCAUGAAAAGCAAUGUGUAAUUGCUUUUCAUUUUUUGCAAUUGAACCGCAGUUUGCAAUUGAACCGUAGUUUUAACUAGGACCCACAUAAAAACAAACUGUGGUUCGUGGUUAACCAAACAUGUGUGACACUGCUUUUUUUUCAACCGCAGUCGCACCAGCAUAUCCAAACACCAUCUAAAGCAUUUGAUAUAUAUAUAUAUAUAUAUAUAUAUAUAUAUAUAUAUAUAUAUAUAUAUAUUUGUGUUUGAUGGUUUGAUUGUCAUGCAAUUAAUUUAUUUUGGCAACAUACAUUACAGUGUAUUGAUCAAUGGAGUAAAAAAUGUCUACUUUUCAGUCUAGGUUGAUGAAUUCGGUAUUCUGAUUUGGCUUUGUUGAGGAUUGCUACAAAUGGACUGUAUUUCUGGAGACAGAUUGGGUAAUAUUUAAUGACAAGAAGUUCUAUGUACAUUUUUUGAUCAGUCAAAGGAUUUAGCAUCGCAAAUAUGAUUUGUGAAAUGGCAUGCAUUUAUGCUUUCCCGGACCAGGGAUUGGGCGGCCAACCCAUUCUCUGGACUUGGUUGGAUAUAUAAAAAAACUAACUUGGAGUUGGCCUAGUUUGACCUUAUCGACUAAGUUGGUCAACUUGUGAUCUAGCCAAAAACCUAUCAAAAACCCAGUUGACUUUUAAAAACAAAAUUAAAACACAUUGUUUUAAUUCUUUUUUAAAAUGUUGACUCGGGUCAACUUGGGAUAACCCACCUGAUCCCUGUCUUUGACCCGAGCCUUGUAUCAGUCGACCCUCGAGUUGAGUUUAAUAACUAUCCUUGACAGUUUCCAAAAUGAGCUAAAUCCCGAAUAGAGGGCAUCAUGAUGAUUCAUGACGACAAGGUCUUGCAAAGAAAAUCUUUUUAGUUCUUUAUUAGUAAUGAUGUUUGGAAAAGAAAUUUAGUACUAUGUUAGAGGAUAUUUUUUUAUUAUUGAAUAAAACAAUAUUGACAAAUAACCAGUAACUUUAACCAAUGAGUGUUGUAACCCAAGUAAUAAUUUUUUUCAUCAAGUGAUGAAGUCAUGAAAACUUCAGACAAGAAUUAGGCUUUUCAUAGAUGUAUCUUUGGGUUGUUGACUAGUCUUGACUUUGGUCCAAUAUUCACCUACAAAAUCAAGUGCUAUGUUGGAAUAGGGGAUCCUCUAAUGAUUAAUUUAGUAAAUGCAUGAGAAGAUAAUAAUAUAUCGUAGGAGAAAAUAGAAUGAAAUUACAUGGUAUAUGUAUACGUUUGUUCUGUGUUUCUGUCCAUGAACUUGUAUGACUUGGUGAAUAGUUAUUUGUGGUUCUAGGAAUUGUUGAGCUACUGGUGGCUCUGGGAAUUAUCGAGUGGUUGUUUACAGCUUUAGAAAUGGUUGAGUGGUCGUAUGUAUGAAGUUGCACGGUUUGGCCUUUAAUGGUUGUGAAUGGUGUGUGAAGUCAUGUGGACUAGUUUUUAUAUAAGAGGUCAUAGAAAUUUUGAUAAGGAUCAACCCAAUACCAAGCUUAAUCAUGCCAAAAACCCAUUGGAGAUGCCAAGUAGGCCAAUUACAAGAGAUAGGGCAAAGAAGCUUAAAAAGACAUUGAAUGUGCUUGCUUAGAACAUAUCAAACAAGAUGGACCUAGAGGAACUUGGGAUGCCUAGGGGAGUAUGCAGGACAACCACGAAGGACAACCUCUAAUUUAUCUAAUCCAAGUCCAAGAAGAGCCUAAUUCGUGUGGAUCAAAGGGUUGCCAGAUCAAAGAAAACUAAAUUGACAAGUAUAAAAGAGGGAGAUUUUCUUCGUUAAUUGUCCAUGCAAAAUAAAGAAACCAAGCACAACAAGGCAAGAAGACUUUAGAAUUAAUUCCAUAUUGAGAUCAAAUUGCCUAGUCUAUUUGGGACUUCUUAGGGGUGACAAAUCUGAUUCUAGUUUAUCUAGGAUAUUAAUUUUGGAUUUUUAUUAUUUUUAUUAUUUUCUUCUUAGUCUUUGGUUUAUUAUUACUUGUUUGUGUCAAUUGUAAGUGGGCUUCGUAUAAGUCCACAUAAGGGGGUUCAUUAGGGUUUAUUUCAAUCUAGAGUCAAUAUAAAUAAAACCAUAACCAGAUGUGUGGGGGGCAAUGCAAUUCAGAUUAAUAAAACUUCUUUGUUGCACCUUGUUGUGUGAGUUGGUGAGAAAUUCUUCCUUCCUUGGUUCUCUAAAGAACAAAAAAUGACUUAUUGAAGAACAACUAACUUCGUGGCGCCAUCCUUAUACUUCUCGUUCAUGAAUCAAUAUUCGUUGGGUAGGGGUUUUUUGUUUCCAAUAAUGCUAGUGCCUAGAUACAAGUUAUAUUUGUAUCACACUCCUAUCAAACCUAAUUUACUUGGCUUUUCUGGAAAUUGGUGUAUUUGCAUGUUGGUUGCUUGACCAUGUGUUCAAGAGGCUCGCAUCAUUUGAUAUCAGAGCUUGGCUCCAUUAAUCAAGUUAUAUCAAUAUGAAAUUGUCGUUUCUCGUUGAUUUCUUAGUGUCUAAUUUCUUCUUCUCCUUGAAUUUUUGGCAUAUAAAAAAAAAGUUUGUUAUUUCAUUCUGUUACUGUCCAAAAUAUAUCAUUAGCAUAAAAAAAAAGAGAAAAGAAAAGAAAAGGUUGUUCAAAAAGACACUUAUGUGCUUCUGUCGUAGAAAACUAAAUAAGGGGAAAUUGGAUCAACUCAACUUAGAAUUAGCUCAAAUUUGAUACUCUGAUUACUAGGGUCCUAAUCGCACUACAUAUUAAUUUUGGGAUCAAUUGGAUAUCAUUUUCUUAGGUUUUGAAUUUCGAGUUUAAUCAAGUUUGAUUCAUAAUGUUUUUGCGUUAGCAUAUCAAACCUUAUCAUAAAUUAUUCAAAUUUAAUAUUCUAUCUAUUUGGGUUGAAAUGACACUAUAUCUCAAAUUUUAACUUAAUUGGACAUCAUUUACCUUAGAUUUUAGAUUCAGACUGAACUUGUCAUAAACGAGUCUGUUUUUGCGUCAACUUGUGAAACUCGUUUUGUUUUUGUUGUUUUCAUUUCUUAUAGUAUAUUUACAACAUAUCUAACAUAUUUGGGUGUUGUUCCAUCGUAUUGCAUACUUCAUUUCUAUUUUUAUUCGAGUCUUGAGUUUCAUUCAUAUUUCAGAUAAAUUCGCUUGCUACUCGCGAGACUAUCAUUGCAUUUUCAUUUUGCUUGCUUUCUGUGUUUUUAUUGCUUCUUGAGUCAUAUACACCUGUUGUGAUGUCGCGGUCACACAAAUUAAUUACCCUAGCUUAAAACACAACACACAAGAUAGUAUAGAGCAAGGAAGGGAUCGAUCCCACGAGGAAGGUUCAAGUCAAAUUUUUAUACUAGAUGAUAUGCAAUUUGAGGGGGGGGUUUGGAGGUUAUCUAGGCUAAAGCAAAAGUAAACAAAAAACUAUCAAGUGAAAUUAAAUAAAAUCAGAAAAUUAUCAAGCGAACAAACCUUAGUUUCAAGUAAACGUCCACCUACAAAAAUCAAAACUAAUCAUGGAAACGAAACAUCAAUUUAUACUCUGAAUAUUUAACUUUUCUUAUAUUGAUUAGUUAACAGAUCCGUUGUAUAACUAAUUCUAACCAUCAAACAACCACAAUGUCCGCACUAGUAAUUUAAUUCAAUGGCAGCGUUAAGAACUAGAUGAGUUGAUUAAUCUAGACAACAUAACUGUCCGUAGUCCAUGUUUGAUUUGAUCAAUCGAAUGUUCUCCCUAAGGUUAAUAACAUAGAUCCGCCACAAUUAUUAAACUCAAUUGCUUCACAAGUUCGUAUACCACAACUCCAAUUUUGAUAUCGAACUUAGCAAUAGAUUGUCUACAAUAAUAACUUAGAGUCCACUCUAGCAAUUAGAAUAAACAAUCAUAGGAAAAAUAAGCAUAGGAGAAUAAAUAUAUUCAUCAUAUAAACUAAAAAGAAAAUGUAAAAUAAAUCUCACAGUUCUUGAAAUCCGAAGGUUUCCGUGUCUUUGCAACCAAGAAAAAGAGUUUAGCCUUGCAUGUCUACUAAACAAUUAAUCAAAAAGAAGGAAGAAAACAUGAUUUCGGGUUCUAUUAGAGGAAUAUGCAUUUUUUCUCUAUUGGUUGGCCGUCUUCCCUUUUCCUUUCUCUCUUUCUUUUUAUAUCCUAGAAAACCCUAAUCGCUUUUUUACAAAAUAGUCCUUUUCUAAGUUGACAAUUUACAUUUAAGCCUUUCAAUAACUAUUUUCCUAAAAAAAGAGAAAUAGCCUUGCAUAAAAUCUUCAAGCUUUGAAUUUUGACUUAGAGGAGCUAAAUUUUUGAAAUAAAGACUUGGAUGACGGUUUGGAUGCUUUGAGAAGUACUUUGGACUUGUUUCUUCACAAAACCUGUCUGCUGGCAGAAUUCAUGUGUCAUCUUAGAAAAAUCAUAUCUCUCUCAUAUGAGCUCUUUUUCUACUAACCUUUGGUAGACUAAUAAUUCUUCAAGUCAGGAAUCCAACAACAUUGAGUUUGCAUCAAAUGGACUUCUGUAGCUCAAGAUAUUCAAGUCAGAAUGGUCGAAGGUCAACAUUGGCAAAAUUUAAGAUUUGACUUUGAAGGCUGCGAUUUUCAUGCUCUUUCUUUUUUUAUUUUUAUUUCCUUAUAGGUAUAGAAAUGUAUGGAUGUUAGCUUUCUAAUGCCACUGGAAUUACUUCAUUUCGACCCCUAGAGCUCAAGCUCUGCACAAAACAUCGACUAGAAGUCAAAUAUACCAAUUAUCUCCAAUUUACUUCUUUUUGAAUCUUUCAUCCAGAAGUGCCUUCAAAACAUAAAACAAAUAAUAUCAAAGCAUUUUAUGUAUAAAACAUAGGCAAAACACUAGGUAAAUAUUGGUACAACUAUCAAAUAAUUAGGUUGCAUCAACACCUAUUUGGAUUGUGCCGACGGGUUGUUUCUAUUUAGUGUUGGUUUUAGUUCCGCAAGAGCUGAAAGAAGGUAAGCGAGGGGAUAAGCCUAAUUUUGAGUGAAACACUAGCGACAUAUGGAUAUUUUUAUACCACUAACUGAUUAGUACUUAAAAUUGCAUUUUUAUCAAGGUUUUAUAUCAUCAUUUUGCACUUGAAGUAUCAAUAACUCUUUAACUAAAGUAUGUUUUAUAAUAACAAGUCUGAUACCAUAAGAUACCUUUAAUUUAUGGUAAAUGUUUAUCUUAAAUGCAGGCCAAUCACAUAAAUAAAAGGAUUGAUUGAUGAGUUUAAGUACUGAAAUUGAAAGGACAAAGAGAGGGCCAAACUUAGAAAAGAGAUGCUGGUUCAGUCCAAACUGGAAUACUGUUCGGUCAUCGGGUCAUAUCUAGAGUUGUAGAUCUUGGAUUUAGGUCUGCUUUAUAUGGAUGGAAAGCUAAGACAUAGGCAUAAAACUUUCAUGUGGAGUCCAAGAUUUAAAAAGGUCGUUUUCAAGUCCAAAUUGUAGCAACAACGGAGAAGUCCGAAUCUGUCCUGCAGCCCAGAUACUGUUCAGUGUUUAGCCCAUAUCUUGAGUUGUAGAAGUCCAAAUGACCUUUUUUUUGUUAGAAAGCUGAGACAAUUUCCUAGAACUUUCAUGAUUCAAGUCUGUUUGAAUUAUGACAUUAGCAAUGACAUUUUAUUCAGACAAGAAGAUAAGGAUUGUCACCAAGUCAAGAGUUGGCCACCCACUCAAUAAUUAGUCAUCAAAUCAAUAGUUCCAAAUUUUGGCCUAUAAAAGGAGGCAUUUGCCAUGCAUUUAGGUGCUUGGUUGUUCAGAUCAAGAUCUUGCUCUUGCUCUCUCUCUCUCUCUUUAUAUUUUUGUAAUGCUUAAGUUUUACUUUCAUUAAUAUCAUGUUUAUGCUUUUCAUUUUGUUUCUUUUACUUAGUCAACUUGUAUCUUAUUUAUGUUCUUAUCUUGUUUAUUUAUGUUUCUCUUCUUCAUUAUGUUUAGCUAAGUUUAUUAUGUCAAGGUGAAAAGGUUACACUAAUGGUGUAAGAAUAAGUAUAAUAUAAACUCAAUAUGAACUUCAAUGCUUAUAUCCUAAACAACUUGCUAUUAACGUGUCUUAUCAUUUUUAUCUUAUUAAUUCAUAAUACCUUGCUUGUUAAAUGGUUAAUCUAGAUUUGUGUUGUAUAACACUUGGUACAACAAAUGCUUGACACUUUCAUAGCCAACUGUAUGGUAUAACCUAUACCUGUGCUAUGAAAGGAACUUGAUUUGUUGUUAACAUAAGUUAGCAUCAUGAAUUCUUGACAAUAUUUAAAAGUUUGGUGUUACUUAAAUAAGAUAAUUAAUAUGAUCAUGUUAACAAUUUAUAAUGAGCUAUUAAUGACAAAUCAUCCGAUUGGAACCUCCUUUGUGUGUGGUUUCCAGUUGAGUAAUAAAAAAAGUUUAUACUAUACUUGUUUGAAAUUCCAUUAGUGGAUCCUCUAACCUUGAUAUUUGUUUUUAUCAGUGUUUAAUCCUUGCAUUAAUCUUACAUCUCAAAGUCCUCUUUAACUUAUUAUUAUUAUUAUUGUUAUUGUUGUUGUUGUUGUUGUUGUUGUUGUUGUUAUUGUUAUUAUUGUUGUUGUUAUUAUUAUUAUUAUUUAUUAUUUAUAUAGUUAACCUCCAUGUGGUUCGACUCCGGUCUUGCCGGGUUAUUUAUUACUUCGACACUCCUACACUUGGGAGAAGACAUCAAUCUUUUGGUCGUGUCAGUUACCCUUUUGAAAUUGUUAGAUGUUCGUGUUGUUAUAUUUAUUGUAAUAUUCAAAUUUCAAUAAUAUGUAUUUUGUUUCAGGAUCAUCGCAUGCACGACAGGAGUAGAUCCUAGCUUAUGUUCCCUUCUUGUAAUCUAGGUUCUAGGGAGUAUACCCUUGUAUUUUGUAAACAUGAAAAUGUUUGUAUAACUUAAUUUGUAUAAUUAAUGUUUAAACUUGAUUAAAUGAACUUAACUAUGUGGUUCAUAUAACCAUAUUCAUGACUGUGUCUUUAUUUUUUAUCCAUCCAUAAUGAUAUUUUGUUAUAAAAUGUAUAUCAUAAAUAUUGUGGUUGAUAGGUGUGAUAAUAUUUGUGGAAUUGAAACCCAGGAUGAUUGGGUUAUGAUAUGCAAAUUAUUAGAAGUAUAAACAGGUUACAUGUCGAUAACUUGAGACCUUCUAGUAUAGGGGGGACUCUGUCGAAAUUUCGGUAGAUUUUAAAACCAUGAAUAUAUAUAUAUAUAAAUUAAUUACUCUGUUUUUCAGUUGACAUGAGAUUGUUGUUUUUAUCUCGGAAUGGGGGAUGUUACAGUUUGGUAUCAGAGCUCGGGUUGCUAUUCCGGGGACAGGAAUGAUUAUAUGAUUUUGAAAUGUGUUUCAGGAUGGUGAGAACAAGGCAAGGAGCCAGGACUGAUCCAUCCCCAGUUCGGGGAAGUGACCAGAGUUUUUGAAAUGAAAGUGAUCCAGACUGGGAUCCCUUGGCAGACACCUCCUCUCAUAUACCUGCAACAUCAGUGUACUCUGAAGGUGGCGAGUCAGUGAGACUUCGAGAUGAUUCGUUGUCCCGUCACACAAAUGUAUUGUAAACCCCGGGGAAAAAAUAAAGGUUGCUUGGAUUGCAAACUAACUACAUGAGAAAUAAAAGUGAAGAAAUUCAUGCAUAUGGUUAAAUAAAAACGGGAAUUCAUAAAUUUUUGGAGAUAAGUUUCUGGAUGAAAUUUUUCGAGACAUUAUAAAUCAACCCAAAAAUGUUGAGGGUUGGAUUAAAUUAAAGAAAAUAAACUAAACUAAAAGUUGUGGGGUGAAAUUAUAAGAAAUGAAAAUAGGUAUAACUUAACUAUAAGAAGAAGAAAAAAAGAUGUAGGGGCCUAAAUGCAAAUAAGAAAAAUUAUAGGGCAUAAAUACUCCUAUUCUCAUCAAAAUCUAUAGAAAUCAUAAGGAAAGAAAAAAGGAAGUUUUUGUAUUCAUUCUUGCAAAAUCAAGAGAGAACCACCAAAAUUUCAAGAAAACCAUCCAAGAUUAAGGGUUUAUAGAUGGAAUAAACACUUGUGGGCAAGAGAUUAACAAGGAAAUUGAACAAGAAGAGAAGAUGGAGGGCUGGCUAUCAUUACAUAAGAAAGGAGGGAGUUGAAAAAAAUAUUCAACUGGUUGAAGAUCAAAACCUUCAUUCGUACCAGGUAAGGUGUUCUAAACAUGAUCUUAUAAGUCAUUUCAAAUUCGAUAAUGAAUUGAUGCCUUGAUGUGAAUUAUAGAUUAAGGUUCUUAGACUUGAAAGUGCAUUUUUAUCAAGGUUUUAUAUCAUUAUUUUGCACUUGAAGUAUCAAUAACUCCUUAACUAGAGCAUAUUUUAUAAUAACAUGUCUAAUAAUAUAAGAUACCUUUAAUUUAUGGUAAAUGUUCAUCUUAAAUGCAGGCCUAUCACAUAAAUCAAAGGAUUGAUUGAUGAGUUUAACUACUGAAAUUGAGAAGACAAAGAGAAGGCGAAGCUUAGAAAAGAGAUGCUGGUUUAGUUCAAACUGGAACACCAUUCGGUUAUUGGAUCAUAACUGGAGCUGUAGAACUUGGAUUUAGGUCUAGUUUAUAUUUAUGGAAAGCUAAGUUAUAGGCCUAAAAUUUUCAUGAGAGUCUAAGAUUCAAAAGAACCAUUUUCAAGUUCAAAAUGCAGCAAUAACGGAGAAGUUGGAAUCUGUCCUGCAGCCCAGACACUGUUCAGUGUUCAGCCCAUAUCUCGAGUUCUAGAAGUCCAAAUGCAUCGAUUCUUAUUUUGUUGGAAAGGUGAGACAAUUUCCCAGAACUUUCAUGAAGAAUAUCUGCUCAAAUUAUGAUAUUAGCAAUGACGUUUUCUGCAGACAAGAAGAUAAGGAGUGUUACCAAGUCAAGAGGUGGCCACCCACUCAACAAUUAGUCAUCAAAUCAAUAGUUCUGAAUUUUGGCCUAUAAAAGAAGGCAUUUGCCAUGCAUUUAGGCAUCUUGCUUUUCAGAUCAAGAUCAUGUUCUUGCUCUCUCUCUCUCUCUUUAUAUUUUUGUAACGCUUAAGUUAUGUUUAUAUUAAUCUCUUGUUUAUGCUUUUCAUUUCCUUUCCUUUACUUAGUUAACUUAUAUCUUAUUUAUGUUUUUAUCUUGUUUAUUUAUGUUUCUCUCUUUCAUUGUGUUUAGCUAAGUUUAUUAUGUCAAGGUGAAAAGGAUACACUAAUGGUGUAAGAAUAAGUAUAGUAUAAACUCAACAUGGACUUUAAUGUUUGAUACUAACAUGUUUUGUAUUUGUUAUCUUGUUCACUUUUAAUACUUUAUUUGUUAAAUGGUUAAUCUAGAUUUAUGUUGUAUAACCCUUGGUAGAACAAAUACUUGGCACUUUCAUAGCCCAACCGUAUGGUAUAACCGACAUCUGUGCUAUGAAAGAAACUUGAUUUGUUAAACUCAACAUGGACUUUAAUAUUUGAUACUAAUAUGUUUUGUAUUUGUUAUCUUGUUCACUUUUAAUACUUUGCUUGUUAAAUGGUUAAUCUAGAUUUAUGUUGUAUAACCCUUGGUACAACAAAUACUUGACACUUUCAUAGCCCAACCGUAUGGUAUAACUGACACCUGUGCUAUGAAAGAAACUUGAUUUGUUGUUAACAUAAGUUAUAAUCAUGAAUACCUGACAACAUUUACAAGUAUUAGCAUUAUUUGAAUAAGAUAACUAAUGUAAUCAUGUUAAUAAUUUAUAAUCCGAUUGCAACCUCCUUUGUGUGUGGUUUCCAGUUGAGUAAUAAAAAGAGUUUAUACUAUACUUGUUUGAAAUACCAUUAAUGGAUCCUCUAACCUUGACAAUUAUUUUAUCCUUGUUUAAUUCUUAUAUCAAUAUCACAUCUCAAAGCUCUCUUCAACUCCUUUUCUGUUAUUAUCUAUUUCUUUAUUUGUAGUUUAUACAGUUAACCUCCCUGUGGUUCGACCCCGGUCUUGCUUAUCAAUAUCACAUCUCAAAGCUCUCUUCAACUCCUUUUCUAUUAUUAUCUAUUUCUUUAUUUGUAGUUUAUACAGUUAACCUCCCUGUGGUUCGACCCCGGUCUUGCCGGAUUAUUUAUUACUUCGACACUCCUACACUUGGAAGAAAACAUCAACUCUUUGGUCGUGUCAAGUUUUUGGCGCCGUUGCCGGGGAGGUAAAUUCUUGUAUAAAUUAUAAUAUUUAUUUUAUUUUCUCUUUUCACUUUUUGUUUUAUCUAACUUUUAUUUCGUUUAUUUUGUUUUGUUUUAUUUUGUUUCCUUUCCUUUCCUUUUCUUCCUUUUAUUCUCUUCCUACACGUGCAUGAGAGUUUGGUCACGUACAUUAAGUGGUAAACUUUGUAGGGUAUCCUCAUCAUUUUCAGAAAAUAUGGCCGAAAAAGAUAACCAGUCACUUCAUAAUGAGAAUAAUGAGAAUAAGUGUGUUAGAACACUUAGAGACCACAUGAAUCCCACAAGAACAAGUGUGCCCUCAUGCAUAGUUUCCCCCCCUGAUGCAUCUCAUUUUAAUUUUAAGCCAGACAUUAUUCAACUUUUACAUUCUUUUCAUGGCUUAGAUCUAGAAAAUCCAUACUUGCAUUUGAGAGAAUUUGAGGAGGUCUGUAACACCUAUAAUGACUUAAAUUGUAGCAUGAACACCAUCAGAUUAAAGCUUUUUCCUUUUUCAUUAAAAGAUAAAGCUAAAACAUGGCUACAAAAUCUUAGGUCAGGAUCCAUUCGUGCUUGGGAUAAAAUGCAACAACAAUUUUUAAAGAAGUUUUUUUCGUCUCACAUAACAAACUCUUUCAAAAGACAAAUCACAACAUUCACUCAAAAACUAGGAGAAACAUUUUACCAAUGUUGGGAUAGGUAUCGAGACUUGCUUAAUCCUUGCCCUCAUCAUGGUUUUGAAACAUGGAGAUUGGUUUCAUAUUUUUAUGAAGGGUUAACACCUAAAGAUAGACAAAUGGUGUAAUUGAUGUGCAAUGGAACUUUUCAAGAUAAAGACCCUAAUGAAGCAAUUGAGUACUUAGAUUUGCUAGCUGAAAAUGCUCAAAAUUGGGACACUGCAUGUAACAUCCCCCAUUUCUGAGAUAAAACCACAAUCUCAUGUCAAUAGAAAAACAGAGUAGUUAAAUUUUUUUUUUUAUAUAUAUACAUAUUCACGGUCUUCGUGUUAACAUCUACCAGAAAUUUCAACGGAGCCCCCCUAUACCGGAAGGUCCCAAUUUACCGACAUGUAACCUGUUUAUACUUCUAACAGUUCGCAUCUCAUAACUUAAUUUCCGACCCAAUCAGCCUGGGUUUCAAUUCCACAAUUAUACUCACACCUAUCAACCAUAAUAUUUAUGAUAUGCAUGAUAUAACAAAAAUAUCAUUAUGGAUGGAUAAUUUAAAUAAAUAUAAAUUCAUAGACAUGAAAUAUGGUUAUAUAAACUACAACGUUAAAUUCAUCCAAUCAAGUUUAAACAUUUAUUAUACAAAUUAAGUUAUACAACCAUUUUCAUGUUUACAAAAUACAAGGGUAUACUCCCUAGAACCUAGACUUCAAAAAGGGAACAUAAGCUAGGAUCUACUCCUGUCGUGCAUGCGAUGAUCCUGAAACAAAAUACAUAUUAUUGCAAGGUGAAUAUUUCCAUAAAUAUAACAAUAUGAAUAUCUAAUAAUUUCAACAGGGCAACAUGCAUUCAUAUUUCAUUUAUUUCUCCCUUCUAGUUUUUUUUUUUUUUAAAUCUCUUCCUUAUUCAACUAUUAAUAAUCGUCCCCUCUGUCGUUAUCAACCUUCAUUCCAGACAUCAACGUGAUUACUUUUGCUUAUCCCAUUACCGAUACCAAUUUCACUGGUAUCGUCAUCACCACCCCAUAGGAGUCGAUAUAAGGCGAUCCCUUUACCCGGAAUCCUAACAUACACUAAAUGUAUGCUGGCCAUUCCAUGGUGAUCCCCUUACCCAGGAUCCUAACAUACACUGAAUGUAUGUUAGCCAAUACGUGGAGAUCCCCUUACCCGGGAUCCUAACAUACACUCCCGGGAUCCUAACAUACACUCAAUGUAUGCUAGACAAUACAUGGUGAUCCCCUUACCCGGGAUCCUAACAUACACUAAAUGUAUGCUGGCCAUUCCAUGGUGAUCCCCUUACCCGGGAUCCUAACAUACACUGAAUGUAUGUUAGCCAAUACGUGGAGAUCCCCUUACCCGGGAUCCUAACAUACACUAAAUGUAUGGUAGUCCAUUCGUGACGAUCCCCUUACCCGGGAUCCUAACAUACACUAAAUGUAUGCUAGCCAAUACAGGGUGAUCCCCUUACCCGGGAUCCUAACAUACACUUAAUGUAUGCUAGUUUAUGCCUCAAAUCACACUUAUCAUAUUUUCCUUUUUCAGUAAUAAUUUCAUCACUUGGCAAUUCACAUAACAACUUUUCACCUUGAAUACACAUACAUUCAGUAAUUUACAUUUCACAUCAAAAUAUAUUAAAUCAUGGAAUUUAACUAGGAAGCAUAGGUGUGAAUCACCUAUCUGCAAUAGAAGCUCUACUCGUGCUCCCCUGCUGCUGCUGUUGCACCACGUCUGUGGUCCCUCCUGCAAAUCACAGGUUUAUCUCAUAAUUUUCUUCACUCAAGGAUAUGUUUUAUAAUAACCAUAUCAACAACCAAUAAGUCUUUCUUUUAGUCAUUUCUUAGUACUUUAUGUUUUUCUCAUUUCACUCAUUAUUACUGUCGUUCUUUUUCCAAUCCUAGUUAUCAUUCCUUUCUUUAUAUUUGGACUUUCACUGUCCAACUGUUACUGCUUCCUCUUUGAACUGUUACUGUCUGACCUCUCCUCAGAUUUUUAACUAUAUCUGGAGUUAUAGAACUCCGAUUCAAGCGAAAUUUGUGGCAUUGGAAAGGUAAGACAUGAGGCUACAAGUUCUAUGUUUUGGGAAGAACCCAGUUCUGCCUCUAAGGUAGUCAAAAUUGCUCAUUAACAAACGCUUGGACUGUUACUGUCCAACUGUUACUGUCCAUUUUUGAACUGUUACUGUCUGACCUUUCCUCAGAUUUUUUACUAUAUCUGGAGUUAUAGAACUCCGAUUCAAGCAACAUUUGUGGCGUUGGAAAGGUAAGACAUGAGGCUACAAGUUCUAUGUUUUGGGAAGAACCCAGUUCUGCCUCUAAGGUAGUCAAAAUCGCUCAUUAACAGACAUUUGGACUGUUACUGUCCAACUGUUACUGUCCAUUUUUGAACUAUUACUGUCUGACCUCUCCUCAGAUUUUUAACUAUAUCUGGAGUUAUAGAACUCCUAUUCAAGCGAAAUUUAUGGCGUUGGAAAGGUAAGACAUGAGGCUACAAGUUCUAUGCUUUGGGAAGAACCCAGUUCUGCCUCUAAGGUAGUCAAAAUCGCUCAUUAACAGACGUUUAGACUGUUACUGUCCAUUUUUGAACUAUUACUGUCUGACCUCUCCUCAGAUUUUUAACUAUAUCUGGAGUUAUAGAACUCCUAUUCAAGCGAAAUUUGUGGCGUUGGAAAGGUAAGACAUGAGGCUACAAGUUCUAUGUUUUGGGAAGAACCCAGUUCUGCCUCUAAGGUAGUCAAAAUCGCUCAUUAACAUAUGCUUGGACUGUUACUGUCUCAUUUUUGAACUGUUACUGUCUAGACAUUGAACUAUUACUGUCUUGAACUGUUACUGUCAAGAUAUUGAACUGUUACUAUCUCAUUUUUGAACUGUUACUAUCUAGACAUUGAACUAUUACUGUCUUGAACUGUUACUGUCAAGAUAUUGAACUGUUACUGUCUCAUUUUUGAACUGUUACUGUCUAGACAUUGAACUAUUACUGUCUUGAACUGUUACUGUCAAGAUAUUGAACUGUUACUGUCUUAUUUUUGAACUAUUACUGUCUAGACAUUGAACUGUUACUAUCCGACCUCUCCUCAGAUUUUUAACUAUAUCUAGAGUUAUAGAACUCCGUUGCAAGCAAGAUUGGUCUCGUUGGAAAACUAAGACAUGGGGCUACAAGUCCCCUGAGGAAGGAGAACCCAGUUCUGCCCAUAAGAUAGUCAUAAUUGCUCAUAAAAAAAAAUCAGACUUACUGCUCUACAGGGUCUGUCAUGACCCAGUCUCGGUUGAUAACCCAUAACUGGAGUUCUACAGCUCUAAAUUGAGCAAGACCAAUUUCCUUAGUUAGCUAACAUCCAAAACUAUAAUUUCUAUGUGGGACACUGGUUCUCCCUCAUCCUCCUAUCCAAAAUCUUACUGAAAGUCAGGAGACGAGUCUGUCCAGAUUCGUCACCCCCCCUUCCCUUCACACAUAAAUUUCCCAAACUAUAUUUUUUGGGUAAUUAUCAUGGUUUCACGUCCCCAAUCACAUACCACACAUGAAUUAACUUAAUUUUUACAACAAAUACUUUUCCCCCAAAUUUAAGUCUAAGAAUCCUAAUCUAUAAUUCACAUCAAGGCAUCAAUUCCUUAUCGAAUUUAAAAUGACUUAUAAGAUCAUGUUUAGAACACCUUACCCGGUACGAAUUAAGGUUUUGAUCUUCAACCAGUUGAAGAUUUUCAACUUCCUCCUUUCUUAUCUAAUGAUAGCCAGCCCUCCAUCUUCUCUUCUUGUUCAAUUUCCUUGUUAAUCACUUGCCCACCAGUGUUUAUUCCAUCUAUAAACCCUUAAUCUUGGAUGGGUUCUUGAAAUUUUGGUGUUUCUCUCUUGAUUUGUAGAAAUAGAUACCAAAACUCCCUCUCUUCUUUUUUCACAAUAGUUGCAGAUCUAUUUUUGGUAAGAAGAGUAGUAUUUAUGCUCCAUAAUUAUUCUUAUUUGCAUUUAGACCCCAUUUUCUUUAAAUGUAUUCGUUUUGCCCCCACUUCUUUUUAGUUUAUCUUAUUUUCUUUAAUUUAAUCCAACCCUCAACAUUUUCGGGUUGAUUUAUAUUGUCUCGAAAUAUUUCGUCCAUAAACUUAUAUCCAAAAAUUUCUAAAUUCCCGUUUUUAUUUAACCAUAUGCAUGAAUUUCUUCACUUUUAUUUCUCAUGUAGUUAGUUUGUAAUCUAAGCAACCUUUAUUUUUCCCCGGGGUUUACACUGCAGGCACUUAUGAGGCACCAAGUAAAACUCAACCUCAUACAUCUAGUGGAGGAAUGUACAACCUUAGGGAAGAUCAUGACCUCCAAGCCAAGUUACCAUCUUUAGCUAGAAAAUUUGAGGCACUAGAAUUGAAAAAGAGUGGUCAAUUAAAAUCUGUUCAAGACAUUGUGUGUCAAAUUUGUGAAACCAAUGAACACUCAACCAAUAACUGUCCAACUUUGCCUGCUUUCAAGGAAUGCCUCCAUGAACAAGCCCAUGCUUUAAACAGUUUCCAAAGGCCCAAUCAUAACCCAUACUCACAAACAUACAACCUUGGUUGGGGAAAUCACCCAAAUUUCAGUUGGAAGAGUGAUAACAAUAAUGCACAAAUUUCACAGCCACCGUUUCAAGCACACCAUAAUUUCCAAAAUUCUCAUGGAUAUGCACCUCCUUAUGCUCCACCUCCUAUAAGAAAUCUUGAGGAAACAUUGUAUGCAUUCAUUGAAAAGCAAGAGACAAUCAACACUCAACUUGCUCAAAAGCAUGACAAAUUUUAAAGAUACUCUUUCAAAGUUCACAUCUGUCUCACUUUUCAGGAGAAAGGUAAGUUCUCAUCUCAACCACAGCAAAAUCCCAAGGGGCAAUACAAUGCAAAUGCAAGUAGUUCCAGAAGCAAACACAUGGAUGAAGUCAAAUCAGUCAUCACUCUUCGUAGUGGUAAGGUUAUUGAAAAACCCACUCUUGAACCUUGUGAAAAAGAUGAUGAGUCAAUCUCUAAGGGUAAGGAAGGGGUUGAAUCUAAACAUUGCAAAGAAAAGACUGAUUCUCCGCCAGCACUUUCAUUUCCUCAUGCCAUGACCAAACAAAGGAAAGUCAAUCACAACUCUGAAAUAUUUGAAACUUUCAAGCAGGUAAGGAUCAAUAUACCUUUGUUGGAUGCUAUUAAACAGGUACCUUGUUAUGCUAAAUUUUUGAAAAACUUGUGCACCGUUGAUUAGUACUUAAAAGUGCAUUUUUAUCAAAGUUUUAUAUCAUUAUUUUGCACUUAAAGUAUCAAUAACUCCUUAACUAUAGCAUGUUUUAUAAUAUCAUGUCUAAUACUAUAAGAUACCUUUAAUUUAUGGUAAAUGUUCAUCUUAAAUGCAGACCUAUCACAUAAAUCAAGGGAUUGAUUGAUGAGUUUAACUAUUGAAAUUGAGAAGACAAAGAGAGGGCUAAGCUUAGAAAAGAGAUGCUGGUUCAGUCCAAACUGGAACAAUGUUCAGUCAUUGGGUCAUAUCUGGAGUUGUAGAUCUUGGAUUUCAGUUUGGUUUAUAUGGCUAAAAAGCUAAGACAUAGGCCUAAAACAUUUAGGAGAGUCCAAGACUCAAUUCUAUUGUUUGGGAGUUCAAAUCUUAGCAUCAAAAGAGAAGUCUGAAUCUGUCCUGCAACCCAGACACUAUUCAAUGUUCAGCCCAUAUCUCGAGUUAUAGAAGUUCAAAUGCGCCGAUUCGUUUUUUGUUGGAAAGCUAAGACAAUUUCCUAGAACUUUUAUGAAGACAAUAUGUUCAAAGUCUGACGUUAGCAAUGACUUUUGUUCAGACAAGAAGAUAAGGAUUAUCACCAAGUCAAGAUGUGGCCACCUACUCAACAAUUAGUCAUCAAAUCAAUAGUUCCAUGAUCAGUUCUGAUUUCUGUAGGUGGAUGUGUGCUUGCGACCAAGGUUUGUUCUCUUGAUAAUUUUAUGAUUUUAUUAAAUUUUGUUUGAUAGUUUUAUGUUUUCUUUUGCUUUAGCCUAGAUUACGUCGAAACCCCCCCCGAAAAAAAUAAAUUACAUAUCAUCUAGCAUAAAAAUCUGGCUUGAACCUUCCUCGUGGGAUCAACCCCUUGCUUGCUCUAUACUAUCUUGUGUGUUGUGUUUGAAGUUAGGGUAAUUAAUUUGUGCGACUGCGUCAUCUCAACAAAUUUUGGCGCCGUUGCCGGGGAAGUAAUUUUAGUUGAUUCUUGUGCUAUUAUUUUUAUUUGCUCUCAUUGUUAUUUAUUUUUUUGAAAAAAAAAGAGAAACAGAAUUUUUGCUUGUUGCGGUACUGUUCAUUUACGGCAGUGGUACUGUUCAAAACAGAUGUUUUGGUGGAAUUAGGUAUCGUUCUUUUUUUUCCUAAAGGGAAACGACGUUCUAAACAGGACUAGUGGCCACUAGCCCCACCCUAUCGAGGCCAAAUUCCGCUGUUUUCCAAGGUUUUUAGGCAGUUUAAUUUUUUUAGCGUAGGAUUUUCGUACAAUUUACAUUGUUUUCGAUCUCUUGUGUGGUUGGUUUCUUUUUAGUUUUCUUGACGAUUUAUGCCUGUAACCCGUUCUAUCAACCAGAGUCAAGUGCAGGUGGAUCUCAAAAUAGAAAACACUUUACGCAAGUUACGAAAGGAAGCUCGCGUCAACACCAUGGAUGUUGAACGACAACAACCACUCAAGGAGCUUGCUGCUCCUAACGUGGAAAAUCAACCAUUGUGCAUCAACAUCGACAAUAAUGUAAACUUCGAGCUCAAAUCUGGUUUUAUACAUUUGCUACCAACAUUCAAUGGUCUUGUAGGUGAAGAUCCUCAUACUCAUCUCAAGGAGUUCCAUAUGGUUUGCGUUGGCAUGAAACCGAAUGGAGUUGAUGAAGAACAGGUUAAGUUGAAAGCUUUCCCUUUCUCUUUAAAAGGGGCAGCAAAGGCAUGGUUUUUCCCUAUUCUCCUAGGUUCCAUUGGAACUUGGAAUGCCAUGAAGAAGAGUUUCCUUGAAAAGUAUUUCCCAGCAUCUCGAGUUGCCAACAUAAGGAAAGAAAUAUGUGGGAUUCGACAAUCUCAUGGAGAGACACUUUUCGAGUAUUGGGAAAGAUUUGAGCAACUGUGUAUUCAAUGCCCUCACCAUCAGAUACCCGAUCACCUACUCAUUCAAUAUUUCUAUGAAGGACUGAUGCCUAUUGACCGUAGUAUCAUUGAUACGGCAAGUGGUGGGGCAUUGGUAGAUAAGACACCCGAGGCUGCACGCCAAUUGAUCUCAAACAUGGCAGCCAACUCGAAACAGUUUGGCACCCGUGGAGACUUCGCAAAUAAAGGAGUAAAUAAGGUAAGUAUUUCUAACCUUGAGAAUAAAGUUAAUGAUCUUACUUCUCUUGUGUGUUUUUUGGCUUGUGGAAAUGUACAGCAGGUGAAAGUUUGUAGCAUAUGCUCCUUACAACGACAUGCUUCGGAUAUGUGCCCAACAAUGUAAGAAGAUUACAUUGAACAUGCUAAUGCAGUUGAUGGAGGAUUCAAUGUACAACCUCAAUGUAAGUAUGAUCCUUUUUCUCACACGUACAAUCCUGGAUGGAGAGAUCAUCCUAACCUAUGUUAUGGGAACCAGCCUCAACAAAGCAAUCAAGGCCAACAGUUCCAUCCCCAUGAAUUUCAAUCCCAACAGAAUUAUCAAGCGAGAUAGCCCCCUUCAUUCACAAACUCCAAUGUUAUGAGGUCGUCAUCCAGUGAUGAUCUUCGUGAGAUGAUGAAAACUUUGGCUUCUAACACUAUGACCUUGCAACAAAAUGUCAUGUCUUUUCAACAGGAAACAAGGUCAAGUAUUCACAAGUUGGAGAAGCAAAUGGGGCAAGUAGCUUCAAGUGUGGGGAAAUUGGAAGCACAAAUGAAUGGAAAAUUUCCCUCCCAAGCAUUGAAUCCAGUAAAGAAUGUUAGUGCGAUCAUGUUGCGAAGUGAGAAUGAACUUGAAGCGAAAAGGUCGAAACAAAUUAAGAUGGAGGAAGAAGAGGAGAUAGAAACCGAAUUGAAUAUAAAGAAGAAACAUCCUCCUUCACAAAUUGAAACCACGACCAACACUCUAAAGGUAACUCCCCACUCAAUGAAUUCCAGUUUUAAAAUAGUUCCACCCUUUCCUGUGAGUUCUUUUAGGUUAAAGAAAGAGGACAAAGAAAAAGAGAUUUUAGAGGUUUUCAAGAAAGUAGAACUCAACCUUCCUUUGCUUGAUGCUAUCAAGCAAAUUCCCAAGUAUGCCAAAUUCUUGAAGGAGUUGUGUACUACCAAGAGAACUUUCAAACUGAAAGGUCAUGAAAUGGUAAGUAUAGGUGCAGUUGUAUCUGCUAUUGUUCAAAAGAAUAUGCCUUUGAAGCAAAAAGACCCAGGUGUGUUUACUAUCCCAUGUGUUAUUGGUAAUGCUCGUUUCAAAAGGGCCUUGUGUGAUUUAGGUGCAUCCAUUAGUGUUAUGCCUAAACAUGUUUAUGAUUCUCUUAGUCUUGAGCCUUUGAAUAAAACUAGCAUUGUAGUACAACUUGUGGAUCGUAGUUUUGUUUACCCACUUGGUGUGAUAAAAGAUGUCCUAUUCAAGAUUGAUAGUUUGGUCAUUCCAUGCGACUUUUAUAUUCUUGAUAUGGAACAUGAUUCUUGUGAUUCAUCAAACAACACUCCUAUAUUGUUUGGGAGACCAUUCUUGAAAACUGCCAAUAUAAAGAUUGAUUGUGGUGAGGAUACUUUGUCUAUGAAAGUAGGAGAUGAAAAGAUUGAAUUUAAUUUUCAUGAUGCAAUGAAAUAUCCUUAUAGCAAUGUUUAUUUUAUCACAUGCUAUGACCAAGUUGAUAAGUGUGUGCAACAAGUUUUUUAUUUUGAUUGUGAGGAUGGAUUAAGCGUAGCUUUGAGCUAUGGCUAUGAUUUUACCAAGAUAGAAAAGAUGAAGAGGCAUAUAUGUGUUCCCUAAAACAUGCAUGAAUCAACAUUGGCUUUGCAAGCUGUUCCCUAUGAUGCAGGAAUCAUUCACCCCAUCAUGGACAAUGAAUCGGUGAUGCCUAUCCUUUUGGUGCCUAAAAAAGAUUGGAAUUAGAUUAGAAGAAAUACAAAAUGAUGUUUAUGAGAAUGCAAGGAUUUAUAAAGAAAAGAUCAAAAGUCUUCAUGAUGAUUACAAGAAAAGAGUUUAAUGUUGGAGACAAAGUUCUUCUUUUUCAUUUGCGUUUGAAACCUUUUCCUGUAAAGUUGCGCUCUUGUUGGAUUGGACCCUUUAUUGUUUCUAAUGUUUUUUCUUAUGGUGCAGUUGAAAUUACAAGUUUAGAAACCAACAAAGUACUCAAGGUCAAUGGGCAUCGCUUGAAACCUUUCUAUGAAGGUUGGACGGCAGAACUCACCGCUUAUGUGGAGUUAGCUGAACCAAUCUAUGAAGAAUGAGCAUGCAACAUGUCGAGCCAAUGACAUAAAACAAAAGCGCUUACUAGGAGGCAACCCAGCACAAAAAGAAAAAAAAACAGAUUUGCUUUCUUUUUCCCUUAUCUUUUAUUUUUCACAUUUUACUUUAUUUUUGUCAUUCUCCUAUAUUCCUUUUCUUUUAUUUCAACAUUGAGGACAAUGUUGUGUUUUAAGUGUGAGGGUAUUGGGAGAAUGUUGGUUUUCUUAUUUUGAUUUUCUUUGUUGUUCCAAAAAAAAAACAAAUUUCUAUGUUUGAUCUUUUGAACUCCUAUUGGUUUAUGAGAAUGUGAGUAUUACAUAUGAGAAUUAAUUGAGAUAGAUGAAGAUAUAAAUCGAAUGAAGAAGUGUGCAUGCAAGUUUUANNNNNNNNNNNNNNNNNNNNNNNNNNNNNNNNNNNNNNNNNNNNNNNNNNNNNNNNNNNNNNNNNNNNNNNNNNNNNNNNNNNNNNNNNNNNNNNNNNNNNNNNNNNNNNNNNNNNNNNNNNNNNNNNNNNNNNNNNNNNNNNNNNNNNNNNNNNNNNNNNNNNNNNNNNNNNNNNNNNNNNNNNNNNNNNNNNNNNNNNNNNNNNNNNNNNNNNNNNNNNNNNNNNNNNNNNNNNNNNNNNNNNNNNNNNNNNNNNNNNNNNNNNNNNNNNNNNNNNNNNNNNNNNNNNNNNNNNNNNNNNNNNNNNNNNNNNNNNNNNNNNNNNNNNNNNNNNNNNNNNNNNNNNNNNNNNNNNNNNNNNNNNNNNNNNNNNNNNNNNNNNNNNNNNNNNNNNNNNNNNNNNNNNNNNNNNNNNNNNNNNNNNNNNNNNNNNNNNNNNNNNNNNNNNNNNNNNNNNNNNNNNNNNNNNNNNNNNNNNNNNNAUUUUAGAGAUUUAAACACAUAAACCCUAAACACGUGAGUGUUGGAGUGUAUAUCAAUGAGAGGACCUAUCACUUUGGCAUGGCAUAGAUUUCAUUUAAAUCCCGAUGAUUAAUUGAGUUUUGAAGUUUACAUGUAAAUAAAUUCAUGAAAAUUUAUACUCUUUAUCAUUCUUGAUUGUGUUCUUGUUUAUAAUGCAUAUAUUCUUGGAUAUUGAUAGGAGAUUAGGAGAUUAGUCAUAGUGAUUUGAUUUAAUUUAAUUUCAAUUUGAUUUUACCUAUCCUUUCUCGAGGACAAGCAAGAGCUAAGUGUGGGGGUAUUUGGUGCAACCAUAUUAUUCGAUAGUUCCACCCAUAUUUCACUUGUUUUUUACCUAUGUUAUAUAUAUAAAAUGCCUUGAUAUUCUUUGUUUUAUGUUUUGAAGGCACUUUUGGAUGAAAGAUGCAAAAAGGAGUAAAUUGGAGGUAAUUGACAGAUUUGACCUUCAGUCGAUGUUUUGUGCAGAACAUGAGCUCUAGAGGUUGAAAUGAAGUGAUUCUAGUGGCAUUAAAAAGCUAACAUCUAUACCGUUAUGGACAUCUAAGGCAAGAAAAUAAAAUAAGGAAGAGGAUGGAAAUCGCAGCCUUCAAAGUCAAAAUAAGUCAAGUUUUGGGGGUCGUCCCCAAAGCUUUAGCAAAAGGGGACAUCAUUGGAAAAAAAUUGGUGAAGAACUACAAGUCUCCAUAAUGUCUGAUCGAAUGAAUGCAAUGUUUAACCAUAUUGACGCUUUCAUUGCUUUACUAGGUGGUCUGGGCACAUUGGAAGAGAUCUUUCAUAUUUUCUCUUUGGUCCAACUGCACAUUCACCAUAAACCUAUAGGUUUGUUAAAUGUUAAUGGUUUUUAUGAUAAUUUGUUGUCUUUUCUUGAUCAAGCCGUGAAACAGGAAUUUCUAACAUCUUCAGCACGACAAAUCAUAAUCUCUGCUUCUAUUGCUGAACAUUGAUUGAACAACUACAAUCUUUCAUUCCUGUAAUUGAUCCCUUCAUGAGUCGCAUAAAUUGGUCAACUAUGGAAAACCGUAAAAAGCUUAGAUUGGAUUUGAGCCUUUGUUUGUGAAACCUUGUGUCCUUUGGUUUUAUUUAUUAUUUUGUUAUUUCUUAUAUUUGUUAAAGUGUGUUUCAGGUUUGUUAGUGUUCGCUGUUUCAGGUGAUGUCUUCUAUACUCUAUCUUCUACCUUAGGACAUUGAGGANNNNNNNNNNNNNNNNNNNNNNNNNNNNNNNNNNNNNNNNNNNNNNNNNNNNNNNNNNNNNNNNNNNNNNNNNNNNNNNNNNNNNNNNNNNNNNNNNNNNUUUGACAAAACUGUUAUUACUAGGAUGGCAAAGUUAGGGAGAAUUUUAUUAACUUGAUUUUGCUCUUGAAAUAUUCAGGUUUACAAAUUCUCGCAUUGUUAUCACUUGAUUCUGCUCCUAUACUCAUUUAACAAGUAUUCUUAAACCUUCAUUUUCACACACACACUUUAACAUAUGAUUGUGGAUUGCACAUUGGAUUAUUACAUUAUUUAUGUUCUUUUGUUAAAGGUAACAACUAAGAGAAAGGGAUAGUAUAUAAUUUACAAAAAAAAAAUUUGAUAAUAUUGAUGAUAAUAGAAAUGUAGAUAAGUUUGGUUUUAUAGCCUCCCCAACUUAAGCAAUUAAGCCCGAAGGGGUGUUUUAACACCUAAUACCCUAAAGUCAACUGACUUGGGAGCUAUUGGCCCAAUGCUUGUUACAUGGGUUAAGGAGAAAAGCUUAAGGUGAUCAAACAUUGCACUAUCUACGUAUCAGUAUCUGCAACCCGAGUUACUAAGCUCGAAGGGGUGUCUCAACACCUAAUGCCCUAAAACCAACUAGUCUGGGAGUCAUUAGCCUAAAGUUCGUUACAUGGGUUAAAAAUGCAUUGUGUUUUAAGUUAUAUGUAUAUAUAUUAAAAAAAAAAGAAAAAAAAAGACAAAAAAGAUAAUAAUCCCAACCCAAGGAAGUUAACCAUAAACAUUAGAACAUAAUAUUGUUUUCUUCCAAUAAAAGCCUCAUCAUCUAUGUUUUCAUACAUUGAGCACAUAAAAAAAAAAGGUUUAUUAAUAUCUUGUUUAAGAAGUAUGAAGCAGAUAUAUAAAUUUAAUGAGAGUUUGUUUAUUUGGAUAGAUUAAUAGAAGUUGAAUGAUGAAUGCCUUGCUUUGUGGAACUUGCAAAUUGUUUUUCUAUUUUAACGCUUUGAUUACUAGGGACUAGUAAUAAGCUGGUUGGGGCGUGUGAUUAGUACUUAAAAGUGCAUUUUUAUCAAGGUUUUAUAUCAUCAUUUUGCACUUGAAGUAUCAAUAACUCCUUAACUAAAGCAUGUUUUAUAAUAACAAGUCUGAUACUAUAAGAUACCUUUAAUUUAUGGUAAAUGUUCAUCUUAAAUGCAGGCCUAUCACAUAAAUCAAAGGAUUGAUUGAUGAGUUUAACUACUGAAAUUGAGAAGACAAAGAGAGGGGCAAGCUUAGAAAAGAGAUGCUGGUUCAGUCCUAACUGGAACACUAUUCGGUUAUUGGAUCAUACCUUGAGCUGUAGAACUUGGAUUUAGGUUUGGUCUAUAUGGAUGGAAACCUAAGACAUAGGCCUAAAACAUUCAUGAAGAGUCCAACAUUCAAAAAGGUCGUUUUCAAGUUCAAAUUGUAGCAACAACGGAGAAGUUGGAAUUUGUCCUGCAGCCCAGACACUGUUCAGUGUUCAGCCUAUAUCUCGAGUUCUAAAAAUCCAAAUGCACCGAUUCAUUUUGUGUUGGAAAGCGAAGAUAAUUUACUAGAACUUUCAUGAAGACUAUAUGUUCAAAUUCUGACGUUAGCAAUGACAUUUUGUUCAAACAAGAAAAGGAUUGUCACCAAGUCAAGAUGUGGCCACCCACUCAACAAUUAGUCAUCAAAUCAAUAGUUCCAAAUUUUGGCCUAUAAAAGGAGGCAUUUGCCAUGCAUUUAGGCAUCUUGGUUUUCAGAUCAAGAUCAUGUUCUUACUCUCUUUCUUUAUAUUUUUGUAAUGCAUAAGUUUUGCUUUCAUUAAUCUCUUGUUUAUGCCUUUCAUUUCCUUUACUAUAUUUAUAUAAUCAUGUUCUCAUCUUGUUUAUUUAUGUUUCUCUCUUUCAUUAUGUUUAGUUAAGUUUAUCAUGACAAGGUGAAAAGGUUACAUUAAUGGUGUAAGAAUAAGUAGUGUAAAUUCAACAUGGACUUUAAUGUUUGAUACUGACAUGUUUUGUAUUUGUUAUCUUAUUCACUCUUAAUACUUUGUUUGUUAAAUGGUUAAUCUAGAUUUAUGUUGUAUAACCCUUGGUACAACAAAUACUUGAUCCUUUCAUAACCAACUGUAUGGUAUAACCGACACCUGUGUUAUGAAAGGAACUUGAUUUGUUGUUAACAUAAAUUAACAUCACGAAUACCUGACAACAUUUACAAGUAUUAGCAUUAUUUGCAUAAGAUAAUUAAUGUAAUCAUGUUAAUAAUUUNNNNNNNNNNNNNNNNNNNNNNNNNNNNNNNNNNNNNNNNNNNNNNNNNNNNNNNNNNNNNNNNNNNNNNNNNNNNNNNNNNNNNNNNNNNNNNNNNNNNNNNNNNNNNNNNNNNNNNNNNNNNNNNNNNNNNNNNNNUCUCACAUUUCAAAGUCCUUUUAAAUCUUUGUUUUAUUAUAUAUAUUAUUUGUAAUUUAUAUAGUUCACCUCCUUGUGGUUCGACCCCAGUCUUACUGGGUUAUUUAUUACUUUGACACUCCUGCACUUGGGAUAAGACAUCAAUUUUUUGAUCGUGUCAUAUACACAAUGACUUAGAGAUUGAAGGAGAAAUGAUAGACAAUUGGUCACUAUAGUGUCGGUGGCUAAGGAUAUAUUACAAUGAUACUUAGCAUCAUGAUGAGGUUGGAUAAGGGCAUAAAUUGAUACUUGGCACUGUGAUAAGGGUGACCAAGGUUAUAUGAAUAAUGCUUAGUGAUUAUAGUGUCGAUAACUAAGAAUGUAUGUAAAUGAUACCUGGCAACCAUGGUUACAAUGCAUAUGAUGUUAACAAGAAAAAUGAAAGGGGAUCUGUACGAAUGAAAGAUUCAGAUGACAUUGAUUAGCUAUCCGGUUUUGGAUAGCUAAUGGUAUCAAUGGGAUUCCAUUUGUACCGGCAUUUCAGAUGACAUUGAUUAGCUAUCCGAGUUUGGAUAACUAAUGGUAUCGAUGGGGUUUCAUCGGUGCUGACAUUUCAGAUGACAUUGAUUAACUAUCCGGGUUUGGAUAACUAAUGGUAUCGAUGGGGUUUCAUCGGUGCUGACAUUUCUUAAAUUGAUUAGUCGAUCCUGAGCAAUUGGGUGACUAAUGAUGUUAGUAAAGAUUACUAACAUCGACAUGGUUACUCCUGGUUCAGUGAAAAAGAUAAGUUGAUUAACUAUUCUGGGUCGAGAAUAGUUAAUGAUAUCAAUGGGUCACAUUGGUAUCGACAAUCAUUUCUAGUGUGAUUAGCUACUCCAGGCAAAGAGGCUAAUGAUGUCAAGGGUUCUUGACAUCGGCAAUUUUGAUGGUAAACCAGAUAUGAAUAAGAUUUGAUUAACUAUUAUGGGGAAGAAAUAGUUAAUGAUACCAAUCGAUUUUAUUGAUAUCGACAUGUAAAUGUAAUUGAUUAGUCUAACCCAAUAUUGGGAGACUAAUGAUACUAAUGAGAUUUAUUAGUGUUGGUAAUUACCUUCCAUAAAAUGGGAGGGAAAAUAUUGAUUGGUUAUUCCAAAAGAAUGAGAUAAGCUAAUGAUACCAAGAGAGAAAUAUCUUGGUAUCAAGUGAGAAUUGAUUUAUAAGGAGAUGGUGUGCGAAAACCAUUGAAUUGUGUUGAGAUUUACAAGAUGAAAUUAUUCUCGGCAAAUGAGAUAGGAUAUUAGAUAGAUAUUGAUAAUAAAUGGAAAAUGUAUGUUGUAAAUGUAUGUUGUAGCUAAUUUUAUGUACCAAAAGAAAUUCUAUGGAGAUUAUUACCUAUCAUUGUUAUUGUUUCUUAUUACCUUCUUAUAUUUAUGUGUACACGUUAAUUUCUAUUUUCAGGUCCAUCAGGGUCGCGUCAGGAAUGAUAUUGGUUUAGUUACCUUUUGCUUUUGACCAUGUAAUUAUUUGUAAAUUAAGAGUCUUAUCUCCUAAAACUUGAAAUGUAAUAUUAAUCCGUAAAUUUGAAUGUAUGACUUUAAUCUAAUGUUUGUAACUCUAAGUACCUAUUUAACCAUGCAUGUUUAUAGUUGAAAUCAAAUCUUUCACUUGAAUUACAUUAUAUGAUGUUAUUGAAUAAGAAGUGUUUUGUUGAUGAUAAUAAGUUGGGUUGAGAUCCAGCAUGAUUAGAUCAGGAUGUAAAAUAAAAUUGGAAGUGUAAUAUGAUUUUGUUGAUAACUUGGGACCUCCUAGUGUAGGGGAGACUCUGCCAAAUUUUGGUGGACUUGUAUAAAAAAAAUUACCUGAAAAUUUCCAAUGUAUCGUGAAAAAAGGACGUAGGAAUUCAGGGUUGUUACAACUGGGUUCUCCUUCCUUUAGGGCACUUGCAGCCUCGUGUCUUAGCUUUCCAACGCGACCAACCUCUCUUGAAAAGGAGUACUAGAACUCCAGAUAUAGUUAAAACUCUGAGGAAAGGUCGGAAUGCGACCUCUACAGACAGUUACGGUUGGAUAGUAACAAUCCAAUGUCUAGACAGUAAUAAUUUCAAUGUCUAGAUAGUAACAGUUCAAGAUAGUAACUGUUGGACAGUAAUAGUCCAAGGUCAAGAAAGUAAUGGUUGGACAGUAACAAUCCAAGGUCUGGACAGUAACAGUUGGGCAGUAACAAUUCGAGAUUUAAACAGUAACAGUUCAAAUAUAAAAAAAUGAAUAAUAACUAUGGUUGGAUAAAGAAUGACGAUAUUAAUGGGUGUAAUGAGAAAACAUAAAAUAUAAAGAAAUAAAUGAUUGAAAGAAAAACCUAUUAGUUGUUGAUAUGGUUAUUAUAAAAUGUAUCAUUAAAUGAGGAAAAUUUAUGAGAUAAGCCUGUGAUUGCAGGAGAGACCACAAGCGUGGUGCUACAGCAGCAGCAAGGGAGCACGAGUAGAGCUUCUACUGCAGGUAGGUGAUCCUCACCUAAGCUUUCUAGUUAAAUUCAAGAAUUUAAUAUGUUAAUAAUGUGAGAUGUAAAUUUGCAAACGUUGGAUAUUAUAUGAAAGGAUAGUAUCCUGAAUAUAUGUGUGUUCAAGGUGAACGACCCUUAUGGGAAUUACCAAGUGAUAGGAGUACCACUGACAAAGAAAUUAUGAGAAGUGUAAUAUGUGCUUCAUCUAGCAUACAUUUAGUGUAUGUUAGGAUCCGGGGUAAGGGGAUCACCGUGCAUCGACUAGCAUACAUUUAGUGUAUAUUAGGAUCCUAGGUAACGGGAUCACUGUGUUUUUUACUAACGUACAUUUAGUGUAUGUUAGGAUCUCGGGUAAAGGGAUCACCAUGUAUUAACUAGCAUACAUUUAGUGUAUGUUAGGAUCUCGGGUAAUGGGAUCACCGUGUUUUUUACUAGCAUACAUUUAGUGUAUGUUAGGAUCCCGGGGUAAGGGGAUCACUGUAAUUUUUUACUAGUAUACAUUUACUGUAUGUUAGGAUCUCGGGUAAGGAGAUCUCCAUACGUUAAUGCUAAUGGGAUGAUGAUGAUACCGAUGAAAAGGGUAUUAGUAAUGUGUGGAUGAAACAAUUGCGGUUAAUUUUAAUGGAAUCUUGAAUGGAAGUUGGAAAUGAGAGAUGAAACAAUUUUCAGUAAAUGAAUGAGAAGGAGUUCUAAUAGAAAUGAAAAGGGAAAAGGAACAGAAUAAGAAUACAUAUCUACCUUUUUAAAUUAUUGAAAAUUUGUGCUACUGUACUUAUCGUGAUAUUCAUAUUUCAAUAAUAUGUAUUUUGUUUCAGGACCAUCGCAUGCACGACAGGAGUAGGUGUUAGCUUUUAUUCACUUUUUGUUAUGUAGUCUAGGUUGGAUGACCUUACAUUUUGUAAACAUGGAAACAUUUGAAUAACUUAACUUGUAUAAUUAAUGUUUAAACUUGAUUAGAUAAACUUAACUCUGUAGUUCAUAUAACCAUGCUUCAUGUAUGCGUAUUUAUGUCUUUUAUCCAUCCAUAAUGAUAUUUGUUAUUUAAUGUAUAUCAUAAAUAUUGUAGUUGAUAUGAACGAUGAUGUUUGUGGGAUUGAGACCCAGGAUGAUUGGGUCGUGAUUGAGUUAGGAGAUGCGAGUUAUUAGAAGUAUAAAUAGGUUAUAUGUCGAUAACUUGGGACCUUCAGGUAUAGGAGAGACUCCGUCGAAAUUUCGGUAGACUUUAAUAUGAACACCAUAUACAUUGUGUUCAUAUAAAUUUUUUAAAAAAAUUAACUACUCUGUUUUUCGAUUGACAUGAGAUUGUUGUUUUAUCCCGGAUAUGGGGAUGUUACAAUCGGCUUGUACGACCUACUCAGUCAGGGACAAGUGCCAAUAAGGGUCGACCUAGGUUCCAAGAGGAAAGGACUCAGGGCAGGAUAUACCACAUGACUCAAGAAGAUGUGGGGGCAAUGCCAGAUGUCGUAGCAGGUACACUACAAUUAGGUUUAAUACAAGUUUAUGCUUUAAUUGAUCUUGGGGCUAGCCAUUCUUUUGUGGCCCAUCGAAUUGUCAGUAAUUUAAAGGUAUUACCAAGUAGAUUGAGUGUAAGGGUGGUGGUUAGUACACCUUUAGGGAAAAAUAUAAACAUUGAUGAGGUGUACAAGGGAGUGAUACUAUACUUUGAGGGGGUAGAGCUAAGGGUUGACCUCAUGCCUUUAGAAUUAUAUGAUUUUGACUUGAUUCUAGGAAUGGAUUGGUUAAGUAGAUAUAGGGCACAAGUAGAUUGUUUCACAAAGACCGUAAACCUCCAAGAUGUGAGUGGCAAAAGGGUAGUAUUCAAGGGAGAAAGGAGGGUGAUUCCGAACUCCAUAAUCUCGGUCAUGACGACUGGAAAAUUGAUUAGAAAGGGAUGCCCUGCUUGGUUGUCUCAUGUAAGAGAAUUAAAGAAGGGAAGCAUAGAAUUAACAAAUAUCCAUAUUAUAAAAGAAUUUUCGUAUAUGUUUCCGGAGGAGUUACUAGGGCCACCUCCAAUUAGAGAGAUUGAGUUUCCAUUGAGACUCUUCCGGGGGUCAACCCUAUAGCACAAUCCCCUUAUAGAAUGGCCCCUAUAGAACUAGCCAAACUAAAGAUCCAACUUCAGGAGUUGCUGGACAAAGGGUUCAUACGGCCGAGCAAUUCACCCUAGGGGCCCCCAUUGCUAUUCGUGAAGAAAAAGGAUGGUACAUUCUGGUUAUGUAUCGACUAUUGAUAGCUAAACAAAGUGACGAUAAAGAACAAGUACCUGCUACCACAGAUAGACGAUCUAUUUGAUCAAUUGAAGGGUGCAAGGGUAUUCUCGAAGAUAGAUCUGAGGUCGAGGUAUCAUCAAUUAAGGAUCAGAUAACAGGACAUACAGAAAACUGCCUUUAGGACCCACUAUGGCCACUAUGAAUUCUUAGUGAUGCCUUUCGGGUUAACAAAUGCCCCUACAGUAUUUAUGGAUCUGAUGAACCGGGUGUUUUGGCUUUAUCUAGAUAAAUGUGUGGUGGUAUUUAUUGAUGAUAUACUAGUAUAUUCCAACUCUUAUUUGGAACAUGAGAAGCACUUGAGAAAGGUGUUGGAGAUAUAAAGGGAGAAUAAAUUAUAUGCCAAACGGGAUAAAUGUGAGUUAUGGCUCAAGGAGGUGGUACUUUUGGGACAUGUUAUCUUAGCAUGAGGAAUAUUUAUGGAUCCAGGAAAAGUAGAGGCAGUUCUAAAGUGGGAAAAGCCCACGAAUGUGACCGAAAUCCGAAGCUUCUUAGGCCUCGCAGGGUAUUAUAGGAGGUUUAUCGAAGGGUUUUCUACAAUAGCAUCACCUCUAACCAAGUUGACUCGUAAAGAAGUAAGGUUUAUUUGGUCAAAGAAAUACGAGGAGAGUUUUCAGGAGUUGAAAAGAAGGCUCACAUCAACCCCUGUUUUGGCCCUUCCUUCCGGAACAAAAGGGUUCAUGGUUUAUAGUGAUGUCUCGAUGAGGGGUUUGGGAUGUGUGUUAAUGCAGCAUGGGAAGGUGAUCACCUAUGCUUCCAGACAGUUAAAGCNNNNNNNNNNNNNNNNNNNNNNNNNNNNNNNNNNNNNNNNNNNNNNNNNNNNNNNNNNNNNNNNNNNNNNNNNNNNNNNNNNNNNNNNNNNNNNNNNNNNNNNNNNNGACCAUAAGAGUUUGAGGUAUUUAAUGUCGCAAAAGGAGUUAAACAUGCGAUAGAGGAGAUGGGUGAAAUUGAUAAAGGAUUACGACUGUGUAAUUGACUAUCAUCCUGGUAAAGCCAAUAUAGUGGCGGAUGCCUUGAGCCAAAAAGGGAAGGCAGUGGUGGGUGAUACAGGAAAUACAGAACAAGAGGAUUUGAUGGAAUUGAAAAGGAUGGGCUUACAGUUAGGUGUGGGUCCCUAAGGGUCACUACUGGCUCAUAUAAAAAUCAGAUCAGUGCUGCGAGAUAAAGUUCUAGAAGCUCAGUUGGUGGAUGAAGGUAUAGGAAAGAUCAAAGGAAGGAUAGAGCAAGGCAAAGAGUUAUCUUUUCAAGUUUUGCCCAAAGGAUUUGUGGCGAUGGGCAAACGAGUUUACUUACCCGAGGAUAAGGCCUUAAAGGGUGAAAUACUGAAAGAAGCUCAUGAAUCUUGGUUUGCAACCUACUGUUGUGAUGUCGCGGUUGCACAAAUUAAUUACCCUAGCUUCAAACACAACACACAAGAUAGUAUAGAGCAAGCAAGGGGUCGAUCCCAUGAGGAAGAUUCAAGUCAAAUUUUUAUGCUAGAUGAUAUGGAAUUUGGGGGGUUUGGACGUUAUCUAGGCUAAAGCAAAAGAAAACAGAAAACUAUCAAACAAAAUUUAAUAAAAUCAGAAAAUUAUCAAGAGAACAAACCUUGGUUGUAAGCACACAUCCACCUACAGAAAUCAGAACUGAUCAUGGAAACGAAACAUCAAUUUAUAUUCUGAAUAUUUAUCUCUUCUUAACAUUGGUUAGUUAACGGAUCCGCCGCAUAACUAACCCUAACCAUCAAAUAACCACAGUGUCCGCACUAGUAAUUUAAUUUAAUAGCAGCCUUAAGAACUAGAUAAGUUGAUUAAUCAAGAAAACAUAAUUGUUCGCAGUCUAUGUUUGAUUUGAUUGAAUGUUCUCCCUAAGACUAAUAACGUAGAUCCGCCACAAUUAUUAAACUCAUUUUCUUCACAAGUUCAUAUACCACAACUCCGGUUUUGAUAUCAAACUUAGUAAUAGAUUGUCUACAAUAAUAACUUAGAGUCCGCUCUAGCAAUUAAAAUAAACAAUCAUAGGAAAAAUAAGCAUAGGAGAACAAACAUAUUCAUCAUAUAAACUGAAAAGAAAAGGUAAAAUAAAUCUCACAGUUCUUAAAAUUCAAAGGUUUUCGUGUCCUUGCAACCAAGAAAAUGAGUUUAGCCUUGCAUGUUUGUUGAACAACUAAUAAAAAAGAAGGAGGAAUGCAUGAUUUCUGGUUUCUUAGAGGAGGGGGGCGUUUUUCUCCUCUUGGCUGGCUGGCCCCCUUCUCUUCUCUCAUUCUUUUUAUAUCCUAGGAAACCCUAGUCUUUAUUUUACAAAAUAGUCCUCCCUUAAGUAGACAAUUUAUAUUUAAGUACUUCAAUAAACAUUUUUCUAAAAAAAGAGAAAUAGCCUUGCAUGAAAUCUUCAAUCUUUGACUUAGAGGAGCUAAAUUACUGAAAUAAAAACUUGGAUAUCGAUUUAGAUGCUUCGGAAUGUAAUUUAGACUCGUUUCUUCACGAAACUUGUUUGCUGGCAGAAUUCAAUUGUCAUCUUUGAAAAAUCAUAUCUCCCUCAGAUGACAUUUUUUUUGCUGAAAUUUAGAGAUUUGAUAGGCCUUUGAGUCAGGAAUACAAAAAAAUUUAUUUUGCAUCAAUUGGACUUCUGUAGCUCCAGAUAUUAAAGUCGGAAUGGCUCAAGGUCAACACUGGCAGAUUGCAAGAUUUGACUUUGAAGGCUGCGAUUUCCAUGCUCUUCCUUAUUUUAUUUUCUUGCCUUAGAUGUCUAGAAAGGUAUGGAUGUUAGCUUUUUAAUGCCACUGGAAUCACUUCAUUUCAAUCUCUAGAGCUCACGCUCUGCACAAAACAUCGACUGAAGGUCAAAUCUGCCAAUUACCUCCAAUUUACUCUUUUUUGCAUCUUUCAUCCAAAAGUGCCUUCAAAACAUAAAACAAAGAAUAUCAAGUCAUUUUAUAUAUAGAACAUAGGCAAAACACUAGUUAAAUGUGGGUGAAACUAUCGAAUAAUAUGGUUGCAUCACUUACCCCGGGAGCACCAAGAUGUACAGGGAUCUCAAGGAGUAUUACUGGUGGCCAAAUAUGAAGAAGGAGAUAGCAGAAUAUGUGUCAAGAUGUGGGAUAUGUCAACAGGUGAAGAUAGAACACCAAAGGCCGGCGGGGAAAUUGCAACCACUACCAAUUCCGGAAUGGAAAUGGGAAAAUAUAGCCAUGGACUUUGUAACUGGAUUGCCGAAGGAGAAAAGGGGCAAUGAGGCUAUAUGGGUGGUUGUAGAUCGACUAAUGAAGUCAGCUCUAUUCUUGCCCACCAAGAUGACGGACCCGGUAGACAAGUUGGCCAAAUUAUACGUGAAUGAAGUGAUUAGACUACAUGGAGUACCCUUAUCAAUUGUGUCAAAUUGAGACCCCAGAUUCACCUCGAGGUUAUGGUCGCGCUUACAACGAGCUUUAGGAACCAAGGUAAACUUGAGCACGACAUUCCACCCUCAAACGGAUGGCCAAUCUGAAAGAACUAUCCAAACACUUGAAGACCUUAUAAGGUCAUGUGUGCUAGAGUUUGAGGGAAACUAGGAAGACUUGUUGCCGUUGGUAGAGUUCACAUAUAAUAAUAGUUAUCAAGCUUCAAUCUGGAUGGCUCCAUAUGAAGCCCUUUAUGAGAGGAAAUGUCGCACUCUGAUAUGCUGGGAUGAAAUUGGAGAAAGAAAACUUGUGGGUCCUGAAAUGGUACAAUUAAUGACUGAUAAAGUAAGGGUGAUCAUGCAAAGAAUAAAGGAAGCCCAAGAUAGAUAGAAGAGUUAUUCAGAUAAUCGGAGGAGACCUUUGGAAUUCCAAAUAGGGGAUAGAGUAUUUUUAAAGGCGGCACUGUGGAGGGGCAUCAUUCGGUUUGGAAUGAAAGGAAAGCUUGCUCCGAGGUACAUUGGCCUAUUUGAAGUGAUAGCUAGGGUAAGGCCGAUUGCUUACUGCCUGAGGCUAUCGACGCACCUAGAGAAGAUUCACAAUGUGUUCCAUGUAUCACUAUUACGGAAGGCAGAAGUGGAUCAUUCACGAGUGUUACCUCCAGUUCCCAUUGAAGGGAAUCGAGACCAAGUCAAUCAAGAUCAUGGAUUGGGGUGAAAAAACAUUGAGAAAUAAAAGAAUACCAUUUGUCAGAGUGUUGUGGAGGAACUCACAAAUAGAGAAAGAAACAUGGGAGAGAGAAUCGGAGAUUAAGGAAAAAUAACCCCACCUAUUCCUUGAGAUAGGUAUGCAACUUAAAUUUUAAGGAUGAAAUUUUUGUUAGGAGGGGAGAAUGUGAAACCCGAGAAACAAUUAUACAAAAAAGGGGGGAUUUAUAAUAAAUUGAAUUUUUUAACCAAUGAUUUACAUAUUUAUUAUUUAUCAUUCUUUUAUCAAAAUCAGAUUUUCAUUUUGUUUUCUAAUUUUGUAAAUAGUGAGUAUCAUAAUAAGGAUAUCAUAUGUCUAUGCAACAAACAAAUCAUCCAUGCAGUUAUUUAAAUAUAAAAAAUAAACGUAGAGAAAAGUAUAAAUACUUAAAUAUAAAAAAUAAAAAUAAAACAUUUAAUUUGAAAAUUUGUGAGUACAAUGUAGAAUUUUUCAUUGACUCUUAUAAUUCAUUUGGGGAUGUUGACGUCUACGAGUGUUUGUGCCGGUCUGAUUUAUUUAUAUAAAAACAAUGUGAUAUUUAUUAGAGUAGACAAUUUUUUAUUGGAAGGAGUGGUUGGUUAGCUUCAUUUGGUGGGCAUUAAAUUCUAUAUUUCAUCGCUAAAAUCCAAGAUUGAAAGAGUUGUUUCUAUCACACAAUUUUACUUGUUUCUAUAAGUAAAUUCAGAUUAUAAUGUAAUUAUGCUUAUUGUUCAAUUUUAUACCAUUAAAUAUAAUUUUUAAUCUGAUUAUUAGAUUAGGUUAAAGUUAAUAGGAAUUUUAAAUAUAUUAUUCUAUAUUGAAUUAAAAUCUCAAGUCAAUUAGUGUUAAGAAAAGUUUUACGAUAUAAGUCAGCAGAUGCAAUAUGAAUUUUAUUAUUUGUUGUCUUUUAACCUGUGAAUUUUUUAUUUGAAGAGAAUUCUUUUCCACAUAAUGCAAAGAUAUUCAACAACUUAUUUUUAUGAGGAUUCCUUGUUUAUUCUAACUAUAUAAAGAAAUGUGAGCUGGGAUAUUUAAUGACAUUGAUUUUAGGCUAAAUUAUUUUUCUGUAUUAUUUUAAGAUUUUAUUUGUUGUUUUAUUUUAUUAUUUAGAUAUUUACAUUUAGUUUAUGGCAUGUGUUUAGUUUUGGCAUGUUUUGGCCUAAAAUCAAUGUUUUAGGACUGUUUUAAAUAGCAAGUUUAUGUUAGCUGAAUGUUAGCUUGAGUUCAUAAGUUUGCAACCCAAUAAAGGCCCAUUAAAGUUAUUUAGGAAGAUCUAUUAUUUGGAUAUUUAUCUUCAAUUGAGAGUUGUGUUUUAGUUAGAGUUUGUUUUGAUCUAAAAUCAAUGUUUUAUGACCAUUUUAAGUAUUAGACUUGUGUAGUUGAUUAUUAGCUUGGGCCUAUUGAUUUGCAACCCAAUAAAAAUCCAUUAAGAUCAUUUAGAAAGACUAUACAUUGUUUUCUUUACUGUAAAAUUCAGCAUCCAUAAUGUUUUAAAUAAAAUUGUGUAUUGUGUGAUGCAUUUUUUUUUUUUUUUUUUUUUUUGCUGGAAGAAAAGCAAAUUUGACUUGUAAAUGCAUAACUAACCUUGUGGCGUAUUCAUAUACUUCGGAUUUUUUAUUUUUUAUAAUCAACGAGUCCUAAUUUAAUUUUCGAUACCACUACCAGAAAAUUGAUAAAUACAAACGGAAAUACCGAGGGAAUAUUUCCGUUUGUAAAUUUUUGAGGGAUUUUACCGACGGAAAUAUUCCCUCGGUAGGGAAUUACCGUAGGAAAAAAAAUUAAAACAAAGCAAAAAAAAAAUAAUGACGUGUCAUUUUUACCAACGGAAUUACCGACGGUAAAUUUGUUGGUAAAAAUAUGAACACUAUUCAUCAUAUCAAUUACAAAGGGAAUCACCGACGGAAUUGUCCGUCGGUAUUUCCCAGAGAGCUCCAGAACUGUUCACUUUCCAAUUGCACUGUUAAUUGUUGUUCUUUACAGACAAAAUCACCGACGGAUUGAAAAGUCGUCGGUGUUAUUUGGCGGUUUUCUGAAAAAAAUCAAUUAAUUUAAAAUUUUCAUUUAAAUAUUACAGAUGGAAUCACCAACGGAUUGAAAAAUCGUCGAUAAUUUUUUGGCGGUUUCUGUAAACUUUUUACAAAAUUGAAAAUUUAAAUUAAAUAUUACCGAUGGAAUUACCGACGGAAUAAUUAAAAAAUAUUAAUAUUUAAUUAUCCGUCGGUAACGCGCCCCAAUAAAAAGCCUGAAUCCCCUUAUUUCACAAGAAACAGACCCAUUUCUUAUUAUUAUUCUUCUUCUUCUUGUUCUUCUACUUCUUCUUCUUCUUCACUAUAUGUAAAAAACAUCAUUAAGGUAUGUCUUCUUCUUCUUCUUCAUUAUAUGUAAAAAACAUCAUUUCUUAUCUAUUUCUUUCUCUUCUUUUCUCUUCUCCUCUCCUUCUCUUUUCCUCCAUGCUUGGGUAUGUCUUCUUAUUCUUUCUUCUUUUUAUCCUCUUAGUUUUUUUUUUUAAUUAAUAUGCUUAACAAAAAAAAAUUUCUCUCCUUAGCUUCACUUGCAACUACAUUAAGGUAAGAUUUUUUUUUCUUCUUCUUUUUUCAUGAUUUUUUUCACUAUAUUUGUUUUUUAUUUUAUUUUUAAUUGUUUUUGUUCUUAAUAAUUGUAUAAAUGUUGUUGUGAGAUUUUUUUUCAUAUGAGAUCAAUUUUUAGUAGAUUUAUUUAUAGGAUUUUUAAAUUUUUAGCAAUUGCAACUUCAUUUUUUUCAUAUGAAUUUUUUUAGUUGAAUUUAUUUUUUUGUUUUAUUUUUUUGUUGCAAAUUUGUUUGAGUUGAUUUUCUUAUUCUUUUUUCCAAGCAUUUUGAGUAUAUAUUAUACAGUGUUAAUUUAUGUUAAUUUAAUUAUUUUAUAAUUUUAUAAAAUGAAUUUUUUUAAAAAAUGUUUUUAAAUAAUUACCGACAGAAUUACCGACGGAAAUUCCAUCGGUAAUUCCAUCGGUAAAUCCGUUGGUAAUAAAAAUAAUAUUAUUACCGAGGAUAUACCAACGAAAUGAAGCGGAUAAAUUUAUUUUUUUAUUACCAACGGAUUCAACGACGAACAAAAAAUUACCGACGAAAGAUUCACCGACGGAGCAUUUCCGUUGGUGAUUCCAUCGGUAAAUUAAUUACCGACGAAAUAUGUGUCUUAACGCCAACGAAAAAAUUUCGUCGGUAAAACUGUUAAAUCUUGUAGUGCCUUAUGUUUUUAGGUGUAAGAUUAUCUUUGGAUUAAGGUUUUUAUCCAUAGCUUUAGCUUUUUUAGAUUAUUUAUCUAUUUUACUGUGAGUUUCUGAGUUUUUAAAUCCAUAAAUUUGGCAUCAAUUACUUUCUUAUUUACCCCAGCAAGAGCAGACACCCAUAGACUGGCUAGAAAGCUUCCAGCUAAUGAAUCGUCGGCCUGCUGUUGGAGAGGUAAAUGUGAAGGUCCGUUUGGAUAGCUGUUACUUUUGUGAUUGAAACUUUUAGCCAUGGGUGUAAAAAUGUUUGCUAAUUUUCUAUUAGAAUGCUCUUUCGUUAAUAAAAAUUUCAGGACAGAAACCAAAGAGGAGAAUCUUUUAAAGAGAUAUCCGAGACUUUCCGGAUAAGAGACACAUGAGUUGUGUUGUAAAAGAUUCAAAAUUACUCUCUUUCCCUGUCUUUAUAUCUAAAACAUUAAUUUUACAAUAGUUAAUUUUAACACAAGAUUUAAAAACUUUAAAAUAAAAUAAUAAAAUAAAACUCAUAAAAAGAUUAAAGAGUUCGUUCCACUUGUGGCUCAAAACUCUACCAAACAAAUGAAAAAAAUAAAAAUAAAUAAAAGGACCCAACAGCUUUUAAAACACCGAAAGCUACGCAUACCCAAAUGAACCCUUGAUCUUGGCAAGCUGACUUUGAAUCAAUAUUAAAAUUUAGUACAUGGACAUCACGCUAUACGCCUUCGGCAUCGAAAUUAAAUAUUUUUUUCUUGCACGAUGGCCGAGUCAAUGAAAACAUAAAAAGAAAAACAGAGAAAGGACUGCAACCUUGCCACCCAAGGUGCCUGCCUCAGUUACUACAUUUUACUUCAUGAGAGUUAGCUCAGCAAUCAGUAAAUGUCAAGAAGAUUAAUUCACAAGUAUUCACUUUUAAAAAAAAAACAAGGGGGGGGGGGGGGGGGGUUAAAUUUUAGUAACCGUUUUGAUUUUCAAAAACCGCAAGUUUAGCUUUAAUUCUACCUUGACACCUGGUAAACUAACUACAAGCUAUUCCCUGCUUGAAGAUUCCAUUAUGGAUACAGCAGAGACUAACAGGAUCCUAUUCAAAAAAAUAAAAAAGUAAGAAAUGAAAUGUGAUAGAAGGCAGGCAGGAAGACAUCAUAAUCUAAGGUUCUAAGGGAAUCAGCUUUCAGAUUCCCAUNNNNN
rnacentral:lncRNA from 1 species